rnacentral:lncRNA from 1 species
CUGCUUCACCUAGGUCCUUCAUAGAAAAGCAUUUCCCCAACCAAGACUUUACUUGUUGCAGGGUAGGGACAUCGUUUCCAAUGAGUAAUAUGUCAUCUACAUAUAAUACCAGGAAAACGAUCAUGCUCCCACUAACCUUCUUGUAGACACAAGGCUCAUCUUCGUUCUUGAUGAAUCCAUACAGUUUUACUGUUUCAUCAAAACAAAGAUUCCAUGAGUAGGUCACAGGCUCAUCUUGAUCCAUGAGUAAUACAUCACCUAGAUCAGAUAUCCAUAUAUCUCAGAUAGGUGACGUAUCCUGCCUGACCUACGCUGGUCUUGUUCUACUUGAGCAGGUUGCUCUUACACAACUACUUGUGUUCCUCCAUAGGUGUAUCAAUGCUUUGUGAUUCUUGAAUUUCUUCAAGCUCUACUUUCCUCCCACUGAUUCCUUUGGAAAUAAAAUCCCUUUCCAGGAAUAUUCCAGUUCGAGCGACAAACACUUUGCCCUCUGAAGGAUUGUAGAAGUAAUACCCUCUUGUUUCUUUAGGAUACCUCACAAAUAAGCAUUUGUCAGAUUUGGGUUCAAGCUUAUUUGAAAUUUGUCGUUUCACAUAAACUUCGCAACCCCAAAUCUUUAUGUAAGACAUAUGUGGUCUCUUACCACUCCAUAUCUCAUAUGGUGUCUUAUCAACCUUUUUGGAUGGAACGCAGUUAAGUGUGUAAGCCGUGGUCAACAGCGCAUGUCCCCAAAAGGAGUUUGGAAGAUCGGCUUGACUCAUCAUGGAUCGGACCAUGUCUAACAGGGUUCGAUUUCUUCUCUCAGAUACACCAUUCCAUAAGGGUGUUCCAGGAGGAGUGAGUUGGGAUAGGAUCCCACACUCUUUCAGAUGGUCAUCAAACUCUAGGCUUAAAUACUCACCACCUCGAUCUGAUCGAAGAGUUUUAAUAUUCUUACCUAGUUGGUUUUNNNNNNNNNNNNNNNNNNNNNNNNNNNNNNNNNNNNNNNNNNNNNNNNNNNNNNNNNNNNNNNNNNNNNNNNNNNNNNNNNNNNNNNNNNNNNNNNNNNNNNNNNNNNNNNNNNNNNNNNNNNNNNNNNNNNNNNNNNNNNNNNNNNNNNNNNNNNNNNNNNNNNNNNNNNNNNNNNNNNNNNNNNNNNNNNNNNNNNNNNNNNNNNNNNNNNNNNNNNNNNNNNNNNNNNNNNNNNNNNNNNNNNNNNNNNNNNNNNNNNNNNNNNNNNNNNNNNNNNNNNNNNNNNNNNNNNNNNNNNNNNNNNNNNNNNNNNNNNNNNNNNNNNNNNNNNNNNNNNNNNNNNNNNNNNNNNNNNNNNNNNNNNNNNNNNNNNNNNNNNNNNNNNNNNNNNNNNNNNNNNNNNNNNNNNNNNNNNNNNNNNNNNNNNNNNNNNNNNNNNNNNNNNNNNNNNNNNNNNNNNNNNNNNNNNNNNNNNNNNNNNNNNNNNNNNNNNNNNNNNNNNNNNNNNNNNNNNNNNNNNNNNNNNNNNNNNNNNNNNNNNNNNNNNNNNNNNNNNNNNNNNNNNNNNNNNNNNNNNNNNNNNNNNNNNNNNNNNNNNNNNNNNNNNNNNNNNNNNNNNNNNNNNNNNNNNNNNNNNNNNNNNNNNNNNNNNNNNNNNNNNNNNNNNNNNNNNNNNNNNNNNNNNNNNNNNNNNNNNNNNNNNNNNNNNNNNNNNNNNNNNNNNNNNAUCUUUAGGUCUUAAUGCUUAAUGUAUAUCCCACUCCAUAAAACCAUUAAGAUUACUGUAGCAUGCCAUUUGUUUAUGUGUCUCGAUUAAGUUACAACACUAUACAUUAAACGGACUAUCUAUUAUAGGGACUUUAUUAAUCAACCAUAAUAAAGAAAAUGCCUUUUAUUAUUAAUAAAUAAUUCGAUACAAGUACCAAAAGUAUUGGCCUCUAGGGCUUACACCAACAAGGGCUUGUCUCUUCUUUUCAUCUUCAAUGAACCUCAAAGCUCUAGCCAACUGCUCUUUAGUGAGGUCGUGCUCAUUCGUGGAUGACUCUAAAGCUUGGCUGAUCUUACAGUAAUAGGCGGUGUCUUUCUCAAAACGUUUCACCUCCUGAGCAUGUCUCUUAGCCUGGUCUUCUGCUUUCCUCUUGACUUCUUGAUUAGCCAGUUGAAUUCUAGCAACACUCAUUUCUAUCUUAGUCUUCUCUGCUUGCAGUUGAUCUCUUGCCCUUCUCAUCUCAAGAAAUUCUUCCAUACUGACAGAAGAGCGUGGCUCCUCAAUCAACGGAUACCAAAGAUCACCCACAGGAAAUGGCAGACGAGUGAGCUCAACCCUCUUUCUGAGCCAAUCAUCAAAUGAAAAUUCUUCCAUACUGACAGAAGAGCGUGGCUCCUCAAUCAACGGAUACCAAAGAUCACCCACAGGAAAUGGCAGACGAGUGAGCUCAACCCUCUUUCUGAGCCAAUCAUCAAAUGGAGGAAAAGACUGUUAUUAGCUCUACCAAAAGGAAUCUUGCCUUUCCUUUGAACGUUGCGCCAUGCACCAGACACUUGUCCCAACAAUGACUGAUUACCCUCAAUCGGGAAGUAGAAAGACUCCUGAAUCUCAUGCUCGAGGGGAGGAACCUCCAUAGCAAAUCCCAUUUGUCUCUUAAGAAGCGUCGGGUUAUAAUUAAUACACCCUUGAACUCCUACAAGGGGCACAUUGGGAAAACUCCCGCAACUGUAAAUAAAAUCUCGUCCAGCCACAUCAAUGUGAGUCCAAGCUAUGUCCUUGGCUCGCAAACCCAUCAACUUGGUUGCCCAAUUUACAGUAUGGUCAAGAAAGACAAAGGCACCCUUGGAAGGCAAAUAUCCCACGAACCACUUAUAUAACAAUUGAGCACAACAUCUAACCAAUCCUCCACGCCUCUUCUCGUUCCGAUUAUGGACCGAAUAAUAAACAUCCCCAAUCAAGGUAGGAAUGGGAUUCUUCUGAGCAAACACCCGGAUGACAUUAAUAUCCACAAAAUUAUUCUGAUUAGGGAACAGAAUAAUUCCAUAAAUGCUUACGGUAAGCAAAGCACAAACAGUCUUCCAAUUACCCAGAACAACAUGUUCCUUGGCUUUGGCCUCCAAGAAACUCAGAUGAAAAUCAGGCAACUUUCCUUUCUCCUUCAAACCUUUCUUAGUCACUUCCGGGCUCAAAUAAAGAGCACGAGAAAUCUCAACAAUAUCAGGUUCUUCCUCGGUAACAUAAAAAGGAAUCUAGUUUCUGACCCGAAUGCCCAGAAUAUCGGCAUAAUCUUCCAUCAAAGGUCCCAACAAAUAGUCUGGAAAGACAAAACAUCUCAAACCCGGAUCAUAAAACUGGAGAAGAGUAUGGAUGGCACUCCUAUCCCCAUCUGUGAGCCUAAAAACCAUCUUCGUAAUACUGCCAUAAGCCUCGUGGAACAUCCCCACAUGGUCAGCCGUAAUCAAUGUUAUCAUACCCUUUAACACGCUAAUCUCUGGAUCAAAGAAACUAUAGACAACAUCAUCUUUUAAGUCGGUCCUCAUACCUGGAACAAGGAUGUCUCUCAACCAGAAUCUCAAUCAAGAAUGUACCCUGCAUAUGGAUAAACAUGAGUUAGAUGCGGGUAAAUGCAAAAUCAGAAUGAUGCAGAUGCAUGAAUGCAAUUCAUAGUGCCAUCCUCCAAGACAUCUGAACAUCAACUGUACUGGAUUCCGGUCUCAGAACUGAUCACAACCAUCCAAGGGACUAAGUAACCACAAAUCCAACUUGGGGGUUCCGAAAUAAACGGAACCGGAGGGUGCAUCACCAUCAUCACAGGAAAGUCACUGAACGGAUAGCAACAAGAUCAUCUGAACAAGUAACCCCAACUCUAACCCGGGGAUCCGAAAUAAACGGAACCCGCUAAUAAAUACCACAGACAGAACUCCGGCGUGUCAGAAAAAAAUAUCCAUAAAUCCACCUUAUAAAUAGAACCCAAAUCACGAACCGAACCAAAGUCACCAUCAAAGAUUCGCCAACAGAACUUGUACCUGUAGGAACCAAACCCCUCCCCUCACGGGUGAAUUCUAAUAAGGUCAUCCUAAGGCGGAUAAUCGAUCUCGAUAAUCGGAUGAGAUACUCAACGGGUUUGCCCUUUCGGGAGUGCCCUGCAGCUCUCAUAAGAUCAUCUAAACCAAAGAUCCGGGAAAGAGCGGUCACCGAAGUCAACAACUCAAAAGAGAUAACCCAACCAUAGUGGAAACUCCACAAGGAAGAGCUCUCUCAAAAGAACCUCGUCCGGUUGUGGUAUGUCACGUUGCAACAACAUGUUGAUCUAACAUGAGAGGAGACAUGAGACCACGCUAAUCCUAGGUGUAUACUCGGGCUUGGGUUUUAGCCCCACUCAGAACACCCACUCCCAAAUCAGAGGAACCACACCUAUCCAGAAUCCAGCACAGUGAUAACAUGAUGCAUGCAAACAUAUAUGCAGAUAUAUAUAUAAUCACAGUAUAAUAAUCACAAAUGCAAUAAAUAAAGCAGUAAAAGCAACCCAAACUACCCUAAGAAUUACGCUAAAGAGCGCUCGGAUUGACUCGCUUAGGGAAGAUGGACCAGCAAGAGGUCAACUUCAGUCCCCAGUGAAGUCGCCAGCUGUCGCGACGCGAAAAACAACCGGCGAGGAAAAUACAGAGCCGCCACCGACGCUAUUCAUCCUAUGACGGAAAGGGAGCGCAGGACUAACCUAAGAAAGGGAAAGGAACGGUCUUACGACCAGAGAUUACAAGGUACAGGAGUUGGUUACGCAAGGAGAAGGAUUAGCACCCCCUCACGUCCGCCGUACUCGACGGGAUCCACGCUCAAAAGAUAGCUCAAAGAAAAGGAAAGGGCUGCUAAUAAACUGCUCAAAGAAACUGCACAAACUGAGAUUAGCACCCCCUCACGUCCGCCGUACUCGACGGGAUCCACGCUCAAAAGAUAGCUCAAAGAAAAGGAAAGGGCUGCUAAUAAACUGCUCAAAGAAACUGCACAAACUGGAACGAUAAACAGGUGGAGGAGAGAAAGAAGACGGAGGAAGUGGACUCGGCAGGAUGUCGCAUCCUGGACCUACGUAGUUUGUCAGAAACAAACAUCAGAGUCAACGUAGUUCGGGAAAAGGAGACGUGCUCGCUAAGACAUCACAUCUUAUACCUACGUAUCUUCUCUAUCCAGAGGAGAAUCAGAGCACUCGUAGCUCGGCUAACGCACGCUGAAACAAGACCCCAAAAAGGGACGCUGAGACGUCAAAAGAAACACCCAAAAGGAAACAGAGUGCCAAUACAUGGACUUGCAUCCGACUCCCAACAAUAACAAAAAGGAAACAGAAUGCCAAUACAUGGACUUACACCCGACUCCUAACAAUAACAAAUUCUAACCAGCAAACACCAAAGAAAAAGGUUAUCAGAACGGACCCCAACAAAGUAACCAAAUAUCCAAAAUACACUCCCGAUAUGUAUAACCAGUCACCACAAAUGAACCCCAAAGAUGAACCCCAAGUGAAUAAUAAUCAUCACAAAUGAACCCCAAUAUGAACCCCAAGUAAUAACAGAAGAAAUCCCCCAAGUCAAUAUAGGUGAACCCCGAACAGAUAACAGGUAACCAAAAUGAACCCUACCUAGUGAUCCCCGAAUAAUAAUAGAAGAAAGUCCCCAAGGUAUGAACGUACAACACACACACACUGAACAAACGGGUACUCACGCCAAAGAAGACAAAUGCCAGAAACCAAGACACGAAACGGUAAACACAAGUUGAGACUAAGAGUAAACAAACAAAGACUCAACAAUGGAAGAGGGAAAAAACAACCCCAAAUAUAAAAGAAAACAACCAAGGGGUGAACACACGCGAAAACAAAGAAAGGGUGCCCGGAGAGAUUGCUCUCAACCUCCUGCCUACGUAUCUCAUCUGGUAUGAGAAUCAGGGCGACGUAGUUCCCCUUACCAGGGGUAAAACACUCUCCUAACCAGAGACCGGGGAAACAACAAACUAAUAGGGAGACUAAGACUCGAGCCUAAUAGUUGUCAUGCGAUCAAUAUCCCUAAGUUGAGGUCUCUAACAAGAACUUAACUCAUCCUGGAAGCGAGUCAACUCAAGUCUAAACUCUACAUACGUUCAACUUCCUCAGAAGUUAAUCGUACGACUCCUACAGAAAUGGAGAUGAGGAGAGGAAAGCAAAUGAACACACCAACACAAGUAAACAAACAUCACACAUUAUAUCCAUACAAGAGUCUCAAACAAUGGGUGGGCUUUAGUCAAGAGGGGUCAUAUCAACCUCGGCAAACAAGCCAAACUGUAAUGGGUAAUCUGUAGCUCUUAACCACUAACAUUGAACGUCAGGGUGAAGCUGAUCAAAGUCUAAAUGAGGAUGAGACCUCAUGCUCUUAACCCUGGCCAGGGUGAGCUCAUGACACAGAAAGCGUGGGGAUCCAGAAAGUGGGAUCCUUUUCCACUUGACAGACUCUGGACAAAAGAUCUGGGGCACAUGUUCAGAAGCAUCAGCACGUAGUGCGAGCAUAAAGAACGACACACUGAAUAACGGGGAAUCGGUUACAGAUCCCUAUGUUCCGUCAAUUGCCUCUUCUCUUGGAGGUCUUAUCAAAUACAACACAUGCCUCUUCUUGGAGGUCUUUGGGCACAAUUUUAAAUAAACACAAACAGAGCCUCUGAAGGAGGACUUGCCAGCAAAAUGCCUGCCAAAAAGGUGGCAGGACUCCAGACUACAUGAAGUAAGAAGCUAACUACCUGAGUGGUGUGUCAACCACAAUCCAAUGCUCAAGCAAGAGCUAAAGCAAGUUAGCAACUAAGGUACCUGUACAAAGACUAAAUAGUUAGUACUUCAGUCAUAAAACCAGAAGACAAGCAGUGAAACCCUCUAACAGUUACACAACUCAAUGCAUAAGUACCCUAGCACUCAAAUGAGCUCAUGAGCUCACCACAUCAAUUAAAACCCUAUAAAACAAAAAUAGGUCAGAACUCAAUGCAUUUUGCAUCUCACAAGGUGGGAACAAACCCAAUCAUCAAUGAUGAGUAUCCAAACCUGAAACAAGAGACAAAGUUAGUUUAUGUACAUCUAAUCAACACAACAAAGCAUAAGCAAACAAUGGCAUGAGAUGAAUUGAAUCAAGAUCACUCAAAGUCAGAAGUAGGGUCCUUCAAAUGACCACCCAAUAAUCCAUACUCCCAUGAUCCAAAAUCAACCAUAAACCCCUUGAAAACUCAAGUAGAACAAGCUUGCACUCAAAACUUGCUCACACCUCCUCAAACACUUCUUAAAGCCUCCAAAAGAUGUGAGAACCCCAAAUAAUCUCCAACCAAUGAUCAUAAGCCCCAAACAGAACCAUAUGAACCCCUAAACAUCAAUCAUCAAGGCCAAAGAUUCACCAUACUUCAAAUACCAUUCAAUUGCUUCAAAAGCUCCAAAAUAGGCCUAAAUCACUUCAACAAGUCACCACAAGCCUCAAACCAUUCCAAAGUUCACAAAUCAGUAGAAUCAUGCUUCUAAAAUCAUCUCUAAUAAGUCACAAAUCCAACUUAUAAGCCCAUCAAUUCAUCUCAUACCAAUAAGAACCCCCACUCCCUCAAUAUCUCACAAGUCUCCUUGAGAAUUCACUUGUGUUCCCAACCUUCAAAUAAGUACCAAAUAAUGUAUGACUUGAAUGAAUGCGCUAAUCAAAUGACUGAAGACUCACAAAUCAGGGAUCAACCCAAUGCAAAAGAGGCAAAGGCUCACAUCACAAAGAAGACCCCAAACCAAGUCAAAGAAUGGACCAAAAGCAAACCCUAAAAUUGGGUCAAAACCCUAGUACAAAGACAAGAUUCAAAACCUAACCAAAUGACCAAUCCAGGACCCAUCCUUUUGCACAUCACACAUUCAAACACUCCCUCCAAUGUCCUCAAAAGGACCAACAUCAAAUCAAUGAUCAAGUAUCUCAACUUGCCUAUGCCAUGAAAUGACCAAAAAUAUGCACAAAAUGAACUUCCAACUUAGAAAAUUCAUAUCAAAUCAGAAAUGCAAGCAAUGACUUUGGGAUUUUUUGUAUAAGUUCCUUAUGCCAUGAAUUUUCGUUAUGCAAAAGAUCAAGUCCAAAAUGAUGCAAAUGCUAUGUGAAAAAAAAAUUCACCAAUUCAAUGUCAAAAAUGUGACACAAAUUGUCACAUUUUUCUCUAUGUGUCAAAAGUGAUGAUAACAUGUGAGAAAAAAUCCAAACCAGUGACCAAUAAUUCAUGUCAUGUAUGAAUGUCAUGUAUGAAAAAGAGUGGAUCAAAAGGUUCAAAAUUGAGGAUUUCACAAUACAUUGAAUGCACUAGGUCAAUUUGGCACAAUAUUGGUUCAAAAAUUCCCACAUAAAUAUCCAUACAUCAAAAAUUCUUGAAUUUAACACCAUAAAAAUGUAGACACAAAUACAAAACUAUGAAAAAAAAUUGGGACUCAAUUGGACAAUUUUUGGAUUUUUUAUGAAUUAAACAAAAUGCCAAAAUAAUUGAAAUAUAAAAUAAAAAAAGGAGGGAAAUGGAUUAUUUGAAUUAAAUCAGGAAAAACAGAGACCACCGGAUCUGGCACGUAUCUGAGAUCAACGGUCCACAUUCAAACUAAUGAAACGCACCGUUUCAUUAAUUGAGUCACCCACCCAGUCAGCGUUCAAUGCUUGCGUGGCCUCAGUCAAACGAAUCUCAUCCACUCAUUCUUCCACGCAUUGCACCACAUGGCGCCCACUCAGCAAAGCCCUAAAAUAACACAGACGCCGGAGCUCUGCUCUGAUCUUCUUCCCCGGAGAGUUCCCGGUGGCUCCCACUGCGGCGCCACCCUAAAAAUUUCCAGAAAUUCACCAGACCAACAUCAUUCAACUCAGUUUUCCAUGUUGAUUCCAAAUAUCCCAUUAGAUUCUCCUAAUUCUUCCUAGGUUUUGCAAUUCGAAGAGAAUAAGUUUCCAGAUCCAAACUUCCGGUCACAAUGAAAUCCUUAAUACUCACUCAAUCUCAAUUCUAAUCAUAUAUUCAUGACCUACACAACAAGAUCUUCAAUUCUAUAACCUAAAAUCAGCAAAAGGAGAGAGUGAAAAUGGAGUCAACUGGAAUUGGAGAUCUCUGGAAUCACGAUCUCACGAGCUCAGCUGCUCUAGAUCAACUCCUUGGAACUUCCUUUGAAGCUUUAUGCAAAAAGAAAUGGCUGAAACCUCUUGAAUGCGCCUCAAUUUCCAAAUCCGAUCAUCAUGAUAAUGCACUUGAAUUGCUCGAUUUCUUGAGGAAUUACACCAAACGAUGGAUGAUUCUUGCUCAGUGAAGUAUGAGGAUCAAGAAUCUGCAAUAAUCUUUGAGAUUUGUGUGAAGAAAAUGCAAAUUCGAAGAGAGAAAUUUUGAGAGAGUUUCUUGAAUUCUAGAUCUGAAAAUGCAGUUAUGAGGCUUGUGAUUAGGGUUUCCCUAUUUAUACUUCUUGCUAAUAACACUGAUAAUCAUUUUAGCUAUUUACUAAGCAUGAUUAAUGAGUUGUUAUGCAAAUUGCAAAAAUGAAAAUUGAUCUCCCAUGGCCAUAAUGCACGUGCUCAGCCUCAUGCUAGGAUUUUAAUCCACUCAAGAGCAACCAAGGGUCAGGAUUUGAAGGUUGUUUUGCUUGCAUCUUAAGCCAAGAAUGAAUAGUGAAUAUUUGCUUCAUUUUGAACAUGUGUGAAACAAGGAACAUACACGCCUCUCUCAUGCAUGGCAAGGGCUCAUUUUUACUCAAAUAUGGUCUAUGAAGAAGGCUGAAGUGAAGCUUUGCCUUGGUUCUUUGUGAACUUUGAUUUGUAGCAUGGUAUCAUCCUUAGAACAAAUGUGAAAUAAUGUGACUUUUGACCAUGAUUCCUUGAGGCUUAGCUUGCACAAAUGAGUCAAAUGAUGUCAUUUUGAGAUGCCUUGAACAUGAGAAGCACUUUGCAAAAAGAAAUGAACCAAUUUGGAGCAUGAUAUCAAAAGUUAUGCCAUUUUGAAUUUCCAUGCACACUUUGUGAUCAUAUGACCAUAACUCCUCAACCAUUCAUCAUAUGAACAUGAAUUAGGACUCUUUGGAAAGGGGAGACAAAGAUAUACAACUUUUAUGUUCACCAAAAAUCCACUUGAAACUUCUUUGAUAUUGAAAAGUCAAGUUGAAAGUGGACCAAAAACUUGCCAAAUUUGGAAACUUUGAAUUAUAGGUCAUUUUCCAUUUUUAGUAACUUUUUGCCAUGACCUUUGAAUAUUCAAGAUGGAUGUUUAGAAUGAUGAAUAGACCCCAUUUGAACAUGAUUGAGGUGUCUCAACUCAUUUCCCCACCUCAUAGCCUUCAGUUGACUGCACAGUUGACUAUUGGUCCUCAGAUGACCUUGAAAUGUCUUGAUCAACUUGAGCCUCUACCACUUAGUGAAAUUGCUUCAAAAUGAAACCCUAGCUCAUGUAAGAUCCUUAUAAUAAUCAUGUGAUCCUCAUCCCAAGAAAAUACCUCAUCUCUUUGAGAAACCCUAGUUGGAAGAAAUGCAUUGAUUAAGGUUGACCAGAGGUCACAACCCUAAUCCAGAGGAACUUGAGGAUGAACUCUGACACCCUUGAUGAUGAUAGAACCAUGAUGAUGGUGAUAUAUCCCUACAGAUAAGAUGAUGCUCAAAACCUCUGAAGAAUCAAGAAACCCUAAUUGGAGCCCAUACCCUCAGAUGGUUGAUGAUCAAUUCAUAGAGACUUUCAGGCUUGAAUCACCUAACUUCCCCAUCUUUUGAAAAGACUUUGGAGGAUGACCUUCUCAUUUUCAUAUGAGAUGCAAAAUGCAAUGCCUAAUGCCCUAAAACAUGAGAUGCAAUGCCCCAAACUAGUCUCAAGAAGAGGAGGGCAAAUUUUGAGGUGUUACACCAACGGAGUGCAGCAUCGGUCAAACUGUCUUAGAAGUCGUGAAUCAACAAUUGAUCGUUAUCAUUCUGGGUAGACAUCUUGCGAGCAUACAUCACUAGAUGACUGAGCAGACAUGUGUUCCCUUUAUACUUUUCAAAGUUAGACACUUUAAACUUCACCAGGAUCUUCACAUUUGGCACUAAACAUAACUCGGCAACACUUUUCACAAACAAAUCCUUCCCCCUUAGUGUCUUCAAUUCCUUGUGCAGCUCAAGAAACUGAUCCUUCAUUUCAUCCAUUUUCUCGUAAACAUACGGACCCUCAGACGGCUCAGAAUGAUAAAUGGUAUCCUCUACACGAGGUAAAGUAUGCACAACUGGAGGUGGCACAGACAUGACCGGGCUAGAUGUCGGCAUGGAAGUAAAAGUAGGCGCAAAGCCUUCAGGCAUAAAGUUCGGCGGAAUUCCCCACGGGAAUUCGGCAGACAUAGCAGGCGUGAAGUGAGCGGCAGCAGCAGGCAUGGUAGAGGUAGCCACCUCUGAAAUAACUGUCCCUCUGAGGAGGAGUUGCAGGUGUUGGAGAAGCUUGGCUCUGAGCAACUAGUACUGACUCUAUCAUGGCAGUCAGUCGGGAGAUCUCGUCCUUCAGUUCUCUGCUCUCUUGCUCCAAAUGUUCCAUGAUUCUGAUAUGAUUGGCGUGAGUAUUAUACCGAUGAGUCAUCUUGGCUGAAGCACAGAAGAAACACCAAUGAGACAUCUGGCGAAAGAGAAACCUGCUUAUGCAAAUGAUGUAUGAAAUGCAAUGCUUGUUUAUUUAUUUUUAUUUUCAAGGAACUUACUAUAUCAUUUUCAAAUAUAUAUAUAUCAACAAUUGCAAUAAUUUUUAUAUGACCAAAAAUCUUUUUUCAUUUAUAUAAUUGGAAGGAUUACACUAAGUACAAUUUCAGAAACCAAAUAAAAAAUACAAGAGAAAAGGAGACUAGUCAUCCUAAGGAUCCCUAACAACAAUGUCAGAAGACCUAGCUGAAGGCGCGUACUUCAUCCGAAUGCGUCGAAUCUCAGUCUCAAAAGAAGCCUUCAUCUGAGUCUUCUCGAGGACAAGCUGAUCAACAAUCUUCUUCCAAGCAACGGAAGGUUGAGGUAUGCUAGAAGAUGAAACUUCUGACUCUCUCUGUCUCUUUGUCACUCGGUCUUUAAGUAGAUUGAUAAGUGCAUCUUUGUCCUUAGACUUCAACUGCAAUUCUUCAUGCUUCUUGAUCAAAGCACGAAAAUGCUCUUCCUACAUAUCUUUCUCUUGCUUCAUCUUGGCGAGCGCGUCUUCCAACUCCUUUACAUCUUGGUUAGGGAGAGUUAAUAGCUCAACCACAACCAUGGACAUAGGUAUUUCACAAGUAUAAUGCAUCUUCAACUCCAAAGCUCUCUUCUUCACCCAAAGAGUGUAAGCUUCCAAAGCUACACAAUUGCAUGGACCAAGCUCAGGUAUUCCUUUCCUAUGCACAUUAUGCCAAGCAUGCACAAUCUUAUGCUUCAAAUGUUGGAAAUCUUUACCCUUUUUAUAGAAAAGACCUUAUAACAAAGUGUUAUUAGGUUUGUCUCUCAAGGGGAACCCAAGUUGACGACGAGCCAAAGCAGGGUUGUAGUUAAUUCCUCCUUGUGUACCAAUGAGAGGCACAUUAGAGAAUUCACCACAACAAUCAAUAGUGUCCAAACUGCUCAAAGAAGGAUCAUACCAAACUAUAUCAUCAUUAGGGAGAGGCAUAAGUCUCUGAGACCACCGUAGACAUUGUUUGUUCUCCACAAAAGCAGGUGUCUCAGGCAAGUGCAAAAUAAACCACUUGUACAGAAGAGGAAUGAAACAGACAAUAGUUUCUCCACCCUUAGAAUUCCUUAAAUGCAAAGAGAAGUACAUAUCACCCAACAAAGUAGGCACAUGAUUCCCAAUCAAGAAUAUUCUAACGGUGUUAACAUCAACAAAAUCAUCAAUGUUAGGGAACAAAGCUAAUCCAUAAAUGAGCAACACAAAGAUAGCUUCAAAAGCGUCUACACUACCGGCUUGAUUAAAGGCAGUGGCUUCCUUGAUGAGGAAAUUAGAUGGCAACCCAAACAAUCCUCCUUUCUUCGCCCAAUGAGCCUCUAUCUCAGACUUCUUCAAAUGAAGAGCUUAAACAAUAAGAUGAGAUCUGGGAAUCUCUUCCAAUCCACUAAAUGGCACUCUACUAGAAAUAGGUAUCCCCAAGAGAUGGGCAUACUCCUCAAAUGUAGGCACAAGCUGAUAAUCAGGAAAAGUGAAGCAACGGUAGAGAGGAUCAUAGAACUGCACUAGUACACUCAAAACUCCUUCAACCACAUCAAAAGACAAGAUAGAUAGAAGCUUCCCAUGACAUUGCUUGAAGUCCAAGGGAUCUAAUACAAAAAAUGCUAGCUCUUUCAAGUCUGGACAUUUGAAACUGUACUUCUUAGUGUUCCUUCGUCCAUAAUCCAUGGUCUGAAAAGAUUUGCAAAUAAUACCUCAGUUUCUUGAAAUUUUUGUGUGAUGAAUGUUAUGAUGCACAUGAAUGCAUGAGCUCAACAAUCACAAAUAAGGGAUCACACACAAGGAAAACAAAGGUCAAGGGAUGAAUCAAGUCAUUGUCAAGAUCAAUCAUCCAUUUUGGUGGAUUAUGGUUUACACCUUAUCAACACCCAAGUUCCUUGAUAUUGGCAAGACUUUUAUUGGAUUCACCAAGAAUUGAAUGGUUUGUUGUGAGUCACGAGCAUGGAGUCUGAGUAAGACCCAUCCCAAUAGGAGUGAACUAGGAUAAAAACCUUAGAUUCAUGUUUUCUAAAAGUUCCCCAGAGGUCUUAAUUUCAUUCUUAUAGAAUAUUACAGGUUAGAUGACUGACUCAUCGACCCAUAAUAUUCUUAAGAGAAACUCGUAUUGAGUGGUAGUAUCGAGUAAAACUUGUUUCAAGUCUCACUUGGAAAAGUCGUCCGCACUACGUCCUAAAUAGGCCAAGAGGGGGUAAAUGUUCUACGAUCCUCAGCUUCUCGGACCCAAAUUAGAGAUAGUAAUGCCUAACCACAAAUACUUGUGUGACAUUUCCAAAUCCAAAAGGAUCUCCACUGAGCAGAUGGAUCUCAAGCCAACUUGUUAAGGACUACUCCAUACAAGUCGAACAUGACUAUACCAUCCUCCUAUCUUAAUUUAAACUCAAGUUCGAGUUAGAACUCAUCUCACUACUCAGAGAUCACCAAGCACAACAAGCAGAUUAUAUCAUACAAACAAAUAUACAUACAUCAAUUAUAUACAACUAUAUACACACAAAAAGGUAGGCUAAACUCACUAGAGACUAGAUCCCCAGCAGAGUCGCCACUUAAUUUAUGUAGCGGUAAAUUCAUGACCAUCAAGCUAUGGAUAAACUAGACAUCAAUAAAACCAGAGUCGCCACCACGCUUUUAUUGUUUCCAAGGGAAAAGGGAAAAGUAUGAACAAAACCCAAAAAUAAGAAGUUUUCAAAUCAAAACUAAUAAAAUGUCAGAGAUUACGGGUAAGGGGGUUGGUUACACAGAGGGAAGGUGUUAGCACCCAAAGUGUCCUAGGUACUCCUAGGGAGCCCUUUCUUGUGUGCAUAUGUAUUUUGUACAAAUGGAUGUAUACAAAUAAAUAGAAUGGAGGGAUGAGAAAAGAAUUUGUUAAUUAUAUUUUUGUGUUUGACAAGACCUUCGAACUUGUGCCUGUAACACCCCGAUUUAAAUAAGAGAAUUGUUUAAUUGAGUUAAUAAUUAUUUUAUUAAUUUAAUUAAAUAAGGUUGAAUUAUUGGAUUAUUUUUAUUAUUAUUAUAGAUGUUAUUUAUUUUAAUAAAAAGUGUUAUUAGGUUUGUCUCUCAAGGGGAACCCAAGUUGACGACGAGCCAAAGCAGGGUUGUAGUUAAUUCCUCCUUGUGUACCAAUGAGAGGCACAUUAGAGAAUUCACCACAACAAUCAAUAAUAUACAAACUGCUCAAAGAGGGAUCAUACCAAACUAUAUCAUCAUUAGUGAGAGACAAAAGUCUCUAAGACCACCGUAGACAUUGUUUGUUCUCCACAAAAGCAGGUGUCUGAGGCAAGUGCGAAAUAAAACACUUGUACAUAAGAGGAAUGCAACAGAAAAUAGUUCCUCCACCCUUAGAAUUCCUUAGACGCAAAGAGAAAUACAUAUCACCCAACAAAGUAGGCACAUCAUUCCCAAUCAAGAAAAGUCUAAUGGCGUUAACAUCAACAAAACCGUCAAUGUUAGGGAACAAAGAUAAUCCAUAAAUGAGCAACACAAAGAUAGCUUCAAAAGCGUCCACACUACCGGCUUGAGCAAAAGCAGUAGCUUCCUUGAUGAGGAAAUCAGAUGGCAACCCAAACAAUCCUCCUUUUUUCACCCAAUGAGCCUCUAUCUCAGACCUCUUUAAGUGAAAAGCUUCAGCAAUAAGAUGAGAUCUGGGAAUCUCUUCCAAUCCACUAAAAGGUACCUUUCUAGAAACAAGUAUUCCCAAGAGAUAGGCAUACUCCUCCAACGUAGGCACAUGCUGAUAAUCAGGAAAAGUGAAGCAACGGUAGAGAGGAUCAUAGAACUGCACCAACACACUCAAGAGUCCUUCAACCACAUUAGCAGAUAAGAUAUAUAGAAGCUUCCCAUGAUGUUGUUUGAAGUAUAAGGGAUAUAAUAAAAAAGAUGCUAGCUUCCUUAACUCUCUCAAGUCGGGACAUCUGAAACUGUACUUCUUAGUGUUCCUUCGUCCAUAUUCCAUGGUCUAAUUUUUUUUGUAAAUAAUACAUCAGUUCCUUGAAAUUUUCGUGUGAUGAAUGUUAUGAUGUGCAUGAAUGCAUGAAUGCAACAAUCACAAAUAAGGGAUCACACACAAGGCAAACAAUCAAAGGUCAAGGGAUGAAUCAAGUCAUUGUCAAGAUCAAUCAUCCAUUUUGGUGGAUUAUGGUUUACACCCUAUCGACACCCAAGUUCCGUUGAUAUUGACAAGACUUGAUUGGAUCAACCGAGAAUCAAGGGUUUGUUGUGAGUCAAGAGCAUGGAGUUUGGGUAAGAACCAUCCUGAAGGAGUGAACUAAGGAUAAAAACUUGCAUAUCAUGUUCUAAAAAGUUUCCAGAGUCUUAAUUCCAUCUAUCGGAUAUUAUAGGUUAAGAUGACUGACUCAUCGACCCAUAAUAUUCUCAAGAGAAACUCGUUUGAGUGUAGUAUCGCAUAACAACUGUUAUCAAGUCUACACUUGAGCAGUCUCCGUAUUACGUCCUAAAUAGCCAAAGAGGGGGUAAAUGUUCUACGGUCCUCAGCUUCUCAGACCCAAAUUAGAGAUAGUAAUGCCUAACCACAAAUACUUGUGUGACAUUUUCAAAUCCAAAAGAGUAUCCACUGAGCAGAUGGGUCUCAAGCCAACUUGUUAAGGACUACUCCACACAAGUCGAACAUGACUAUACCAUCCUCCUAUCUUAAUUGCACUCAAGUUCGGGUUAGAACGUAUCUCACCACUCGGAGAUCAUCAAGCACAACAAGCAGAUUAUAUCAUACAAACAAAUAUACAUACAUCACAUAUAUACAAUUAUAUACACACAAAAAAGUAGGCUAAAUCCACUGGAGACUACUCCCCAGCAGAGUCGCCACUUAAUUUCUGUAGCGGUAAAUUCAUGAUCAUCAAGCUAUGGAUAAGCUAUAGAUCAAUAAAACCAAAGUCGCCACCGCACUUUUAUUAUUUCCAAGGGAAAAGGGAAAAAGUACAAACAAAACCCAAAAGUAAGAAGUUUUCAAAUCAAAACUAGUAAAAUGUUAGAGAUUACAGGUAAGGGGUUGGUUACACAGAGGGAAGGUGUUAGCACCCAAAGUGUCCUAGGUACUCCUAGGGAGCCCUGUUUUGUGUGUAUAUGUGUUUUGUACAAAAAUGAUGUUUUCAAACAAAUAGAGUGAGGGGAAGAGAAAAGAAUUCAUUAAUUAUAUUUUUGUGUUUGAAAAGACCUUUGGACUUCUGCCUACGUACCAACAUAAAAAUGAGGGAUCAAAACCUCGUAGUUCGUGAUACAAAUUUCGGUUUUUUUACAAAAAUAACCCACUUUUUCAAGGAAAUUCCCAAAAUACCCCUGGUUUAAAAAAAAUCCCAAAAUACCCCACUUUUAGGAGGAGUCUCCAAUUGAAUUGGCGACUCCUUUUAAAACUUGAAUGGAGGCGCCAAUUGGAUUGGCUAGGGCAGGUGCCCUAAUGGCGACUCCUUUUAAAACUUGAAUGGAGGCGCCAAUUGGAUUGGCUAGGGCAGGUGCCCUAGCCAAUCCAAUUGGCCCCUAUGUGUAGGUUUUAAGAGGAGUCUCCAAUUCAAUUGGAGACUCCUCCUAAAAUGCAUUUUUUGUCUUAUAAAUAGAUGCGUUGUGUGACUAAUUGUUCCACAUCUCAUAUAAUCAUUUGGCUAUCAUGUUUAGUGUUCGUCGCCGAUACGGAAAGGUUAUUUAUGUGAGAGACAAACCUCAAAUGUUGAUGCUGUUUUGGAACAUCACCACGUUCGAUCAACUGAAGAGGGAGCUGGUUCGUUGGUUAGAUGGGAAAAUACCAGAAGGGGAAAAAUCAGAAGUAUUGAGAGACUUGACAGUGUCUUUGGUUGGGUGCGAAUGAAGAUUAAUAAGGAUGCUAGGGAAAUGAUGUUCGUUCGAGACGACAUCAAUUUGAUUGUUGUAAUCAGUUAGAAAUAUUAAUGUUUUCAUAGGUUUUGUACUGAUGUUUGUUGUGAACCUCAUUGUAACAAGAACUUAAUGGUAUAUAAUGAUUGAAUGUUACAGAAAUACAAUGUUACAAAAAGCUUAAGACCUAGAUGAUGCUCCUCAAUUAGGACAGUUAUUCUUGUUGUGUCCUGGUUGACGACAGAUACUACAUAAUCUUAUCAUUUUAUCUGUGGAAUCCAUAUUUGUUCUUAUACGUGUGUUGUUUGGUCUUCCUUUCUUCUUUCUACGCAUCUCGUCAUUGUGCCAAACAAUAUCACCUUCAUAUGGAGGCCAGUAAUCCUCCAUUGGUAGUAUUGAGAAGCUUUGAGUAUAUACAUUCAUGAUGGUGUUGGCCUUGUACAGAUCAGAUAAAUGGCUGUAAGCGUCUUGACGAGUAUAAAUGCAUGCUGCUAUGACAUGGGAGCAAGGUAUGCGGAAGGCCUGGAAUUUUCCACAAUCGCACCAACUUCUGUUUAGUCUAAUAGUGUAGGCUAAAUUUGGUCUCCCCUCGUUAUGGCCCAUUGUUUCCUGGACGCUAAAAUUUUGCCUAUGAUGGUCAAAGACUAUUACAACGUGUGUGCUAGCUUUGAUGCUCUCCUCUUUCAUGACCUUCAUGCAACACUCACUGAAUACUUGCCCAGACAUUAACACCGCACUCCAUCUUUCACCUCUGGUUGUGAACAUAGAAGCCAACCUAUAAAAGGUUGAUCAUACCAAGGCGGUUAUCGGCAGAUUUCGAAUUCCCUUGAAUACCCCGUUCAUGCAUUCCACAAUGUUUGUUGUCAUGUGGCCCUAUCGACAACCUCUAUCAAAUGCCCUUGUCCACUACUCUACCGGUAUGUUAUUUAUCCAUCUCCCUGCGUCUUUAUUAGACAGUCUAAUUUCAUCACGAUAAUAUUGAAAUGACGGUUGAGUUAAAGCAUACCCAACAUUUACCACCUUCUUGCGAAGAUUCUUAUCUUUUAUAGCACGCAUGAAGUUUUGUGCAAUGUGUCUGAUACAGUAGACAUGUGUAGAAGGAGGGUCAUGUCAUCCGUUGUCAUGGUUGUUGUAGGCACUCUCAAUGGCAGCAUGUCUAUCAGAAAUCAAACAGAGAUUGGCUUGUGGAGCCACAUGCGUUCUGUGAUAUCGAAGAAAGAAACCCCAUCCACCAGCCGUUUCACCUUCAACAAGAGCAAAGGCAAUGGGAAAGACAUUGUUGUUGCCGUCUUGUGCAACCGCCAUGAGCAAAGUACCCUUGUAUUUUCGGAUAACCAAGUGCCAUCAAUUUGAAUAAUAGGUUUGCAAAAUGCGAAACCUUUGAUGCACGGGUCAAAUGCCCAAAAGACGGUGAAAUAUUCUAUUACCUGUAGCCAGGUUCCGUCUGCAUCAUCGCUGGCACUGUCUCCAUAAUUUGCCACAGUUCCUGGGACAUAUGUUUUAUGCCCAUAAAAACUGUGCAAUUCCUUGUAUGAAUCCUCCCAGUAUGCGAAAACUUGUUCAACAGCCUUUUCCUCGCAAUCCAGGCUUCUUGUAAGAUGGAGUAUAAUUAUAUGUUGUUUUGAUAUGGGAUAAAUAUACUCACCUUCACUGAUGGGUCUUUAUUAACCAACGGCAGAAUGUCUUGACAUAUCAAAGUUGCGCUUAGUUACGGUGAUCUGUUCAACGUAGUUGCAAUGCAACUGUGCGGUGGGUCUAUUGAAGCGAUCUUCCAAGAUUCGUUUUCUUCUUGUGAGACGCAGCCAAACGAACUUACAAAAGCAUGUUACGACAUUCGAUAACAUACCUUCUAGAAUCAGUGUGUUUCACUGUAAAGUCAGCAGAGUUGUUCAUGUGGAAUUUUUUGAUAGCCAGAACACAUUCUUCUUUGGUACGAAACACGUCUCCCACCUUUAAUUCUCCUUCUGAUCUCGGAUACGGAUUAUAGAAAACACUGUUGGAUGUUUCAUCAUCGUGAAGAUCUAUAUUUGUCAUAUGUUGAGGCGAAUUGUAUACAUGACUAGGAGGUAUCGGUGGUGGUUGAUCAUCAUCUUCAUCGUUGUUGUUCAGCAUGUGAUCAACCUGUAUCUCGGUCUCCCCUUCUUCUUCAUCGACGACAUCCACUUCUGCCUCUGCUUCUGGGUUGACGUCAUCUGACUAUUGUCGAUCAUCUUCACCAGAUUCAUCCUGACCGGUUAGUUGAGACUGUUGAGAUGAUAUACAUGGUUGAAGAGUAAUGUACAUGAGUUAUGUCAACGUCGGACUUACAAGUACUGAUUGUUUGUAGUAUUCAACAUCUUCAUCGUCUCGUACCUUAAGGGGGAAAUACUUGCAUUGACCAUUCUCAAAAAAUAUUGGAUUUUGAUAUGUUAUCUUUGACACAAUACCCGAUCCUAUAAAGGAUUGUAUUCUUUUUUUCAAAUGCAAGAAGGUUGCAUUUCUCUUGAUCGUGAUUCUAAUGGUAUCAGUGUUUCGAAAAUAAAAACCAUGUAGCUCAAACUCGUAUGUUUCACCGUUGCAGUGAACGUUGACACUAUAUAAUGAUGAAGAUGACAUUGUGUAGAUGAAAAGUAUUUUCUUAUUGCAGAUGAAUGUGAGUGAAGUGUCUUGGAUGUUGAUAGUAAGACACUUAAAUAGAUGAGUGAAGUGUCUCACAUGCUAGUUAGUUCAAGUGACGUGUCGGACAUGCAAGCUACUCCGAAAUGACGUGUCGGACAUACAAGAUACUCCGAAAUGAUGUGUCAAUCGUGCAAGCUAUCAAGAAGUGACUUGUUCAGCAUGCAGGAGACAAGACAGCCACGUGUCAGACAUGCAGACACACACUUCAAAUGGAUUGGCGCCUCCACUUAUUCCUUGCACAUGGGCGUUAAUUCAAGUGGAGACACCAUGCAUUCAGACCUCGAAACCAAGCAAUCAGACCUAGGUCUUGCAUGCAUGUCCCUAUGGAGGCGCUAAUUUGAAUGGUGACCCCUCUUAAAGGUUGUACAUGGUCGCCAAUUCAAAUUGAGACACCAUGCAAGCACAACUUUUCAUGCUCCCAUCCAUUUUCCUAUAAAUACAUCAACACAUCUUCCACACCAUCACUCUCACUACUUCUUCUACAAUUUCAUCUGCAACAACUUCUUGUAGUUUCAUCUACACCAACCCCCCGACAAAAUGUCUAUCCUCACAAUGGGCGAAGCACAUAGAGGAACGGUUGCAAACAUCGCAACAUAUGUAAGUUUUUUCUUUUCUUAACUUUUUAUCUUUCAUCUUCACCAACCCCUUUUUAUUUUGACAUACCAACUUAGUCAAGUUUUUUAUUCUUUCUUUUAUAGGAUGUAUCAAGGUUCCGAACUCGGGUCCACGAAUAUGUCCAUAUGGACCCGAUGAUUCAACCUUAUAUUGAACUCACCGGUUUUGGUCAUAUUAGCAAGAUUUUGUCUUGGUCCAUAGAUAACAAAUUCAUUCUAGCCUUAUGCGAAAGAUGGAGACCAGAGACACACACAUUUUGGUUCCCAACCGGUGAGUGUACCGUGACGUUAGAAGACGUCUACAUGCUUUUAGGACUACCCAUUGAAGGUAAGGUUGUUAAUGGUAAGACCAACUAUGCAAAUUCAAUUUGCAUGGAGCUCUUAGACACUGAUUUAUUAGAUGAUAAUGCUAGAGGUCGAGGUAUACUACUCUCACGCCUUAAGUCGUACUAUAAUAGUUUAUACUUAGAUGAGUAUUCUACCGAAGAUGCUCGAAUAAUAAAAACUAGGUGUUACAUUAUNNNNNNNNNNNNNNNNNNNNNNNNNNNNNNNNNNNNNNNNNNNNNNNNNNNNNNNNNNNNNNNNNNNNNNNNNNNNNNNNNNNNNNNNNNNNNNNNNNNNNNNNNNNNNNNNNNNNNNNNNNNNNNNNNNNNNNNNNNNNNNNNNNNNNNNNNNNNNNNNNNNNNNNNNNNNNNNNNNNNNNNNNNNNNNNNNNNNNNNNNNNNNNNNNNNNNNNNNNNNNNNNNNNNNNNNNNNNNNNNNNNNNNNNNNNNNNNNNNNNNNNNNNNNNNNNNNNNNNNNNNNNNNNNNNNNNNNNNNNNNNNNNNNNNNNNNNNNNNNNNNNNNNNNNNNNNNNNNNNNNNNNNNNNNNNNNNNNNNNNNNNNNNNNNNNNNNNNNNNNNNNNNNNNNNNNNNNNNNNNNNNNNNNNNNNNNNNNNNNNNNNNNNNNNNNNNNNNNNNNNNNNNNNNNNNNNNNNNNNNNNNNNNNNNNNNNNNNNNNNNNNNNNNNNNNNNNNNNNNNNNNNNNNNNNNNNNNNNNNNNNNNNNNNNNNNNNNNNNNNNNNNNNNNNNNNNNNNNNNNNNNNNNNNNNNNNNNNNNNNNNNNNNNNNNNNNNNNNNNNNNNNNNNNNNNNNNNNNNNNNNNNNNNNNNNNNNNNNNNNNNNNNNNNNNNNNUCGUUGUGCAAAAACUCCCACAAAGACACAUCUACAUUUUCUGGAUGUGCUGUUUUGCUACAAGCAUGGGGUUGGUCAAGACUACUGUCUCUAGCACCGGUCAAUAACAACCCUUUCACUUUUCCGUAUGCACAAAAGUAAGUUGUUUAAAUUGAUAUAUCUUUACUUACUUCUUCAAAGUUUAUUACCUCAAACUAAUUUUUUUUUACUUUUUGGUGUAGAUGGUCGGCACGUGGUAUGAGUUACAACAGAUGUCCGAGACACUGUAUUACUCAGUAUCGCAACCUGUUGGAUCACCUUCGACCGACAGACGUAAGCAAAAUAACUUAAUUAUUUUGUUAUAUUUUGUUAACUUUUUCUACAUUGAUUAUAAUCCUAUCUUCUUUCACAUUUCAGUUCAUUUGGCAUCCAUACCUUAAUAUGGAUCAUGACCAAUAGGUCAACACUGAAGACGCAGCCGUAUGAACUGCAUGCACACUGAUAAUACGGUUCACAACUAUGGAGAUGCACAACAGCGAUCGUGUGAAGCUGCAGUUCGGUAUGCUCCAGAAUAUCCCAGAUCCCCCAGCUAGCCUACGAGAAUGGCAUCUGCGUAAAGUUAAUGACCAAUGGAACUUCAAUCCAUGGAAAAGCUUCGUAAGAUCGGAGUGUCGUAAAUGGAAGCACCGUCAUGACCAUGUGUUAACUGACGCAGUCAUGCCAACUGAGGUAAAACCAAGUCGUACUUAUAUGGCUUGGUACAGAUUGGUUGGUUUUCAGUUCAUCGCCGAAGUUAUGUACCUAUACGACCCACGCCAGGCAACUUACACACAAGAAGGAUCAACAUCUAACCCCCAACAACAUUCUCAGCCCGGUUACUCACAACCCCCUAUCCGUCAAACUUUCCGUUCCACAAACACACAAACAUACACCCAAAACAUUUGCCAUUCACCCAACCCCAAUACCAAGAGCAUACCCAAACCACCACAACAAAUUGACCAUCAACCUGAGACCCACAAAUCGUUCGCACCCCACCCCAUCACCCUUACCAAAGUCGCCUUAGCCAAAACACCAACCGCCCCUCCUCCUACCGUAGCCAAGAAGCCCAAACAUCACAAAACCAAAACAUCCAACAACCCUAUCUCUACCAAACACCCCAACAACCUUUCCAAUCUUUCCUCGACGCAUCAUUCACACCCAUGUCUCCCUUCAACCGUCAUGGUCGCCCAUCCAUGAGUCAACCACAUCCCAACUUCUCUGGCAUGGGUCAUGAGCUCAGCUACGGCGGUACAUCAUCGAUGCAUACUGAAGACUAUGUCGACUUGUCUGAAUACCUCAACGGACCUUCUCCUGUAGUUGGUAGUGACGCUCUUGGCCCCUCAGAUGAUCAAACACCGGUGCAGAAUCGUCAACGUGGGUUAGGGCCAAGGGUUAGGGUAGCUAGAGGAUGUGGAACCGGAGGUCGGUUAGGUGAUCCCGGUCAUCACUAUUAGGUUUCUUUGUGUAAACUCCAAACUUUAUUAAUAUCAAGUCGUCUUAUAUCAAAUUUAUCUUUCACUUAUACCAUAAAACACAAAAAAAUACAUUUUAGGAGGAGUCUCCAAUUGAAUUAGCGACUCCUCUUAAAACCUACACAUAGGCGCCAAUUAGAUUGGCUAGGGCACCUGCCCUAACCAAUCCAAUUGGCGCCUCCAUUCAAGUUUUAAGAGGAGUCUCCAAUUCAAUUGGCGACUCCUCCUAAAAGUGGGGUAUUUUGGGAUUUUUUUUGAAACUAGGGGUAUUUUGGGAAUUUCCUUAAAAAAGUGGGUUAUUUUUGUAAAAAAAACCACAAAUUUCAAAGUGGAUGCAUUGCUUUUAAUAAAAUUUAAGUUUGAAAGGUACAGAGGCCUAAAAAUGGUUUGAAUGAGUUAGUUUUUUUUUAGUUUUUGAAAGUUUAAGUCAAGUAUAAUUAAGUUCAUUUACAAGUUUGAUCAAGAAAAGAAGUUUGAAAAUGCAAUGGCAUAAGGCCAAAGUUUCUAGUUUGCAAAGUGGUCAAAAUUUAGAAAAAUAACAAGUUCAAACAAAGAAGUUUUUUAAAAGGAGGGAGAGAUUUUGAAAUUAAAGAAAUGGGGAGGAGAUGAAGAGACUAAUCCUAUGCACAAAAUUAAAAGUUAAGAGUUGAAAAGAUCUGACCGAUGGGUAGCAAUCCAAUAGGCAAGCAUGCCAUGUAGAAACCCCAAAUUCCCUUAGAUAUUAGAAUCAAGCAACAAACAAUGCAUACAAUAUUAACUUGAAGAGCAAUGAAUCAAAUAAAGAUAGUCACAUCCAAGCUUUAGCCACUCUAUGAUCUUCUUCAAAUGUGCCCAUGUAGCAAAUGAAUUCCACAAUGCCAUAAGUCACAGGCUCAGAAUAACAGCUUCACAAUGAUCAUGUUGCAGAUGAACUGAAAGGGAUCUUAAAUGAUGUAUCAGAUGAAGUUUCAAAUUACAAGCACUUGGUUUCACAAAAGUUGGCAUUGGCUAAGUCAUUUAGCAUAGGGAGGUUGCCUAAAUUAUAAGUCCAAUUUGUCCAAGAUCAAGUCAACAUUCCACACAAAUGUUUUUUAGGGUUUUUGUUCUUAUUACGUACAUUAAUGGUCCAAGACCACACAAACAAACAAAAUAUACACAAGCAAGAUAUAUCACACAAUAUGGUCCAAAUGGACAAAAGGGAAAAUGACAUUAACAUAAACAAUUAGAAUGGUAUGAAUAAUGGCAAAUGAAUAAACUUAAAAAUUAAAGUGCAUUAAAAAUAAAGGACUUGAAAUCAAAUUUAGUUGUUAAUGAGUUAGAAUAGUAUUUUUUGCCUUUUGCUUUUCAUUUUAAGUAUUUUUUGGAGAACACUCAAACCCAACUUAUCACAAGCAUGGAUCCUUGAACCAAGACAUCUUCCAAAGGAAGGAAAAAAUGUCAAGUUUCCACACAAUACCAUGAAAGAGGGGAGACUUACAAUCUCACUAACUAGAAUGUUAUGCCUUUUUGUGUCACAAAUUUAGCGUUAUAUUAAGCAAUCGUAAUUAGACUUAUGUAAAAGACACGACUAUUUGAGGUCGGGCAAUAGAAUUUUGGUGUUAAUGCAUGUUAGAGACAUAGUACAAUGGACUAUGCUCAUGAAACAUACCACACACAAAAAGGAUAUGCAAAAGAGGUGGCAUAAUCUCAUCCAUACUUAUGUUGAUUUUACAAUCAACUAGCCUUAGGACUUAGAGAUAUCAUAGGCCAAAUGAGAUGAAUGCAUAAAGAAUGAGAAUGAGAUGAAGAGGGAGAGGAAUGGAUCAAAACUCAAAUUGGUCAAAGAAGGACUUUUACCAAAUUAAUAUCAUCCAUUCAUUUUGGGAGAUGGAAUGUACAUUCCAUCAAUCCCCUAAAUUCAAUGAUAUUAACUUGACAAAGUCAAAUCAACAUUGACCAAGGCCCAACAACAAAAGUCAAACUUAUACAAGUCAUCACAAUAGGUCAACACAAUUAAUUGACAUUUAUUCAAAUUAAAAAUACUAAAAUAAUACAUUUAAAUUAAAUAUGGUUUGUCAAAUUCCUAAAACCUCAUCAAAACACCAAAGAAAUGGCCAUGAGAUUUAAAUACUAAAAUAAUACAUUUAAAUUAAAUAUGGUUUGUCAAAUUCCUAAAACCUCAUCAAAACACCAAAGAAAUGGCCAUGAGAUUUAUCAUAGGUCAAACAAGGUCAAAGGACCUUGGAGAAAAAAAUUAAGAAUUUUUAAAGACUUAAAGGUAUUUUUAAACAAUUAAAAACAAUCACAAAAUUAACUAAAUCGAGAAAAAUAUUAAUAAUGAUCCAAAAAAUAAUUUUAAUUCAAAAUAUGAAAGAGGAAAUUAUUUGAAUUUUUUUGGUGAAACUCUCAUAUUGUUUGGAUCAAUAUUAAAAUUAAUAUGAAUUAAUGAAAAUAAAAGAAAUAAAAGAAAAAUCAGAAAAUAUCAAAAAUCGUGGACCACUUGAUCUGCCUCAUUAAUUGAGGUGGCAGAUCAAGUGGUGAGAAUCGCGCGUUCCAUGGUACAUGCUAGUUAGCACGCCACACACUUGGUCAUUACAAGCAACCUCCCUGAUUAAAACAUUUUAAAUUCAUCCAAUGGCUCAGAACACUUCCAGCUCAUCGCUGGAGCCAAAUGCCGAUCAUCUUCUCUGAUGACCCUGGUCGGACUGGUUCUUUCAUCACCAUAACAUAAAUGAAAAAUGAGGACAUGAUCUGAAAGAUAAAAUGGUGUAGAUCACGAAUAUCACCUCAAUUUUAACUAACUCCACAUAUAUAGAAAGAUAUGAGGAGUUAAAUUUUGAGGUGUGUCAACUGAGUUACUUCGAUUUGACCUCUAAGCAACUCAAUUUUCUUGCCUACAUUGGUAGGACUUCAGACAACCAAAGAUCCAAGAGAAUUGAUGAGAAUUGAGUGAGAAUCGAAGAGAUGAAGUUUUCUGAAAAUUACCUUCAAUGUUGUGUAGAACUUGAUGUUGCUUGCUUCAAACACGAUCUGAUCAUACUUGAGAAGCUUGUAGGAAGUGAUUAGCAAGGGUCCAAGGCUUUGGAUCCUGGAGUUUUUGAAUCUCCAACAGUUGAGAUUAAAACUCAAUUUUCAAAUUUAAAAUUCUCAGGUUUUCCUUUAGAAUGAGAGGGUUUGAAUUGGGGGGCAAAGUUGGCGCGCAAGGUCUCCUUGAAUUGAGCACAGAGGUCAUGUAUUUAUAGCAUGAUGGAGUGAUAUUUGCACACUUGAAAUUUUAUCCAAAUUUAGCAAUGUGAAUGGCACAAGUGCAUGGGCAUGUACAAGCCCAUGAGGAAAUGCAUUAAGGUCCAAAAUUAAUCAUGUUGAAGUCUGAAUGAAGCUUGAUUGGCAAGACAAUGUGAAAUGAAGUUUGUACAUUUGAUUUCCUCCAAUGAUGCAACUCUGUUAAAGCCAUGCGUAGCCCUAGCAAACCUCAUCCAAAAUGUAUGAACUUUGGUUCUUUGGAAAAAUGGUCACCAAUUUCAUGUUAUCUCUUUCAAAUACCUUAAAAAUGGUCACCAAUUUCAUGUUAUUUGGAUUUAGAAUGAUAGAGUUAUGCAUUUUUGAAGUUUGGAAAAAUCACUUGUUCAAUGGUAUAGGUCAAAAAUGACCUAUAAUGUAUCCUCAUAUCACAUAUUCAUGUUAUUUGGAUUUAGAAUGAUAGAGUUAUGCAUUUUUGAAGUUUGGAAAAAUCACUUGUUCAAUGGUAUAGGUCAAAAAUGACCUAUAAUGUAUCCUCAUAUCACAUGCUCAUAAAAGUUGAAUUUGUUUCCACUUCAAACAUCAAAAUUGAAUUAGACAUAUUGAAUUUGAUUGUUCAACUUGUAAAUCUUUCAUCUCAUAAAAAUUGAGCAAGUUAUGGCCUUGGUAAGUUGACUUUCAAAUUAGGGUUUAGACAAAAUAACCUAUAAUGUUUCAACAUAGAAGAUGAUUUUCCAAGAAAAAUGAGCUCUAGGUAUCAACAUGAAAGUUGUUUGGAAUGUCGUUUAGAGUAACUUUUCUCUUGGAAUCAUUUUCAUAUGGUGAAAAUUGUAGGAGAUAGGGUCUAAGGAGACCUAGUCUUGAUUAGAUGAAUUCAUCUGGCCAACCACCAUCAACCAACUUGCCAACCUUACAUUCUCUUGACUUUCUUGGCUCAUGGUAGAUCUUAUAUGCAUAAGAUGAUGAAUUUUGAAGUGUCCCUUUAAAAAUUUGAUCAAUUGGUGAGAUAGCUUGUUAGAGAAGUUACUCAAGAUACCCAGUCAAACUAGGGUUUCCAAGGCAAAUCACCCUUAAACUCUUGAAGAAAACUUGAUCAAUAUGACAUGUAAAGAUGAAUGAAACUCAUAUAUGAUGCUCAUAACCAUUCUUUGAUCAAUUCAUGGUUGUGCUCUUUGUCAUGAGGGUUUCAAACCCUAGAUAUGAACUUGAUAGAUCAAUGAUGAUCAUGCCCUACCUACAAAAGAGUUAGGCAAAUACAAAGACAUAUUUUUGGUAUUUUGGUUAGUAAAAUGAUAAAAUACAAGUAUGAUACAAUCACAUGGUGCUUGGUGAUCUCUCCCAAAAUAAACCCAAUGAAAGAGAGGUAAGGAAGAUGCCAAGGUAUGAUCCCAUUGCUAAUGCAUAUGAUGAAAUUGCAUGAGGGAUCUUAGGGUCAAAAUUGGGGUCUUACACUUCCAUUGUCUACUUAUAUCAUAUUCACGACUGCAUUAUUGUAAGGGGGGAUCGGGUUGUUAUUUACAUUCGGCCCCUUGGGGGCGAACGUGAUUGCCUUAUAAUCAAUAAGAUCUUGAACCUUGUACUUUAAUGCUUUACAAUUCUCGAUCGAAUGCCCGGGAGCGCCAUAAUGAAAUUCAUAGCGGGCACUUGUAUCAUAAUCGGGAGGAAGAACUGCUGGUGGAGGUCCUAACUCCCUCAGUUGUACAAGUGAUCCCCUCAAUAAAUAUGGUAGAAUGUGGCUAUACGGCAUGGGAACCGUGUCAAAUCUUCUCUCGGUCCUUUGCAUCCUUUGUUGUUGUUAUUGUUGAUACUGUUUUGCUGAUGUUGCGGUUGUUGUUGAUACCAUUGUUGUUGUGGUUAUUGGCCGCGUUGAUGUUAGUUGGAUGGGAGCUAUGGCGGCUACUUAUGGAUAAGUGAGAUUUCUUGUUCGAAUGAUGGAGGUGCCAUUGAUCUUGCCUUCUCGUUUUUUACCGUAGGGAAGAAAAGGUUUCUUCGAUGCACUGGAAGUACUGACAGAGUCCUGGAUCUUUCCCAUCUUAAUCAUAUUUUCUAUCCUUUCACCGGCUAAGACCAGGUCAGAAAAGCCCGAAGAGGUGCUCCCUACCAUUUUGUCAAGGUAUGGACCUUGCAGGUUACCCGUAAACAUGUCUACCAGUUCCCUUUCUAGCAAUGUGGGUUGUACCUUAGAAGCUAAUUCCCUCCACCGUUGGGCAUACUAUUUGAAGGACUCCUCAGACCUUUGAGUCAGAUUUUGCAAUUGCGUGUGAUUAGGUGCCAUAUCAGUGUUGUACUGAUAGUGCUUGAGGAAUGCCUCAGCCAUUUCCCUCCAUGUGUGAAUAUGACUGCCCUCGAGUUGCAUAUACCAAUACAAAGAUGCCCCACUGAGGGAAUCUUGGAAAAAAUGCAUUAAUAGUUUAUCAUCACUGGAAUAAGCAUCCAUCUUUUGGCAGUAUGCCCUAAUGUGAGUCCUAGGGUCGCUAUUUCCCUUAUAUUUUUCAAAGUCUGGAACUUUGAACUUGGCCGGAAUGAUGACCCCAGGCACUAGGCACAUUUUUGCCGCAUCAAGGCCCAAAACAUCAAUGUUCCCCAUUGCCUUGAGCUUUUCCUCGAUAGCCUUUACCUUCCUCUCCACCUCGUUGGUUGCUGAACCGAAGGCGUCAUCUUGAGAAGCAACCCUUGGGCUGAAGAAUGCAUCAUGUUGGUCGUCUAUUUCAAAAACAUGAGGAAGAGGAUUUUCGUUUAGAACACUGUCGGGUGCACUAAUGUUAAUUAGAGGAUCAACUUGAGGAACUGGAGUUGGAGUCUCGACCAUUGGAGGGGUAGGAGGAUUGGUAGUACUGGCACGUUGGUUUAUUUCUUCUUGCAUUUUUGCCAUAAUUUCUUGGCCUCUUGCGACUGCUUGAAUAGUCUCCAUCAACUGCCGCAUUUGGGACCGCACCUGGGAUACUUCCUCCUGGAGGGCAAUUUGGUUUUCUUGAAGUUGCUCCAUGACAGCUUGUCGACGUCCUCGUGUAUCGUACUGGAAAGUCAGCUUUGGAGAGUGGUUUUGGUCAGGAAAAAAGGGUGGAUGGAUGAGUUUUUAUGUUUUUAUGUUUUGAAAGAUACAAAUGAUGCAUGAUUUUUGUUUUGUUUUAUGUUAAAGCAAAGCUCUUUUAGUUAUUCGUGUUUAUUCAUUGCAAAAACUACUUGAUGAUUCACGUUCACAAUCAUAAAUAAAGGAAAACACAAUAGAGAAAAUCACAAAGCUUUCAUUCAUCCUUUGGAGGGGAAAAUAGAUUGCAAUACAUAGAAGUUGCAAAAUACAAGUAAUGGAAACAAAUAAACCAACUAGAUAUCCACCCUAAAAGUGACCCCUUAAGACUUGUGGAGAGCCUCAAUGUCGGUGAUGAGUUUGGCCAUCGUCUUCUUGCAGAACUUGACGAAGUGAUAGACCUCUUCGGGGGUAUUAUCUGGGCACAUGAUCAGAUUCACCUCCUUCAACUUUUCGGGAAAGUCUUGAAGGUCAUAGUUAGUUAAUACCGCCAUGUUGGCGUAUUUGUCCCUUCAUUCCUCGUAAAGAGCUUGGAGAUUAUGGAUGAUUCCAUCCCUUUAAGCAAUGGCAGCUUCGAAUCCAUGAUAACGCUCCUCAAAUCUCUAUAGUUGUUUUGCAACUCUACAUAGGCUUGGUCAUAGAUUUCCCUCUUCAAGUUCUUGAUUUGAUCGCAAGCUUGUCCAAGGUUGAACUGCUCACGCAAGAAGCUUCGGUGAAUCUUUUCUUUCUCUAGUUGUUCCUUGGAUAAAAGGUCCUUAUACCCUUUUAGAGUGAUCCUUAGUUCGAGAUUUUGGGCCUCAUAAUCUUCCCUCGCUUCUUUCUUCAUGGAAUUAAACCUCUCGAUAGUAUUCUCAAGGUCCUUGAUGAUUCGGGACGCUCGAUCCAACUCGUAGUUGUGGAAGUCUAGCUCAGAAUUAGCACCUUGUAGAGCUCCACCAACCUAAACUCUUUAUCCCUCGGCUAAUCGGAGCCUCUUCUUGCUAUCUUCAAAUUUUCCAUAAACUUGCUUACCCUUAUCCUCCAAGACGUGGUUACGUUCCUUGACACGAUUGAGCUGGACUCGUAAUCGAGUGUUUUCCAACUCAAGCUCUUUGAUUUGGCUGGUGAGUUUGUCUAUGUCCUCUUGUAGGAUAGGAUCGGGCUCGGGCAUCAACGGGAAUGAAGAAGGGUCAAACAGAAACGACAUCUUAACAACCCUAGCCCUCUCUUUUACCCACACAUAGUAGGGUUCCUUGGCUAGGAUGUUUUUCUGACCCCAUUCUUGGUUAAUACGGACUAUGCUUGUCCAAGAUUUUCGCACUCUUUUCACAUUUGAAUCAAGCGGAUCCACGGUAUUGAUGACAAAUGGAAUGAAAUCUCUUUCCUCUGGAGGACUCGUCAUGGCGUACCCUAGUUGUCUCCUGAGUAUAUCAGGGUUGUAGUUGAUGCUGAAGGAGAAGGGCGAUCCAAAACGCAGCAGAAUUUAAAAGUUUCUCCUUUAGUGAUCCUUACGAGUGGGCAUAAUCAGUGAUAGAAUCGUUACCUCUUGUGGAGAUUGAAACCUUUGAUGCAGAUUUACGGAGCGAUCACAAACAUUGAAUGGUGAUAACGCCUCUACUCAGUCCACACGAACGAAUUCCUUCAAUCUCAGUGCUAGCUUCUACGAAUGAAGGCUUUGAGUGUGUGAGAGAGAGAAAUGAAAUUGCAAGUGCACGAAUACUUCUGCACAAGGGUUCUAUUUAUAGAACCACUUGUAUGGGCUGCAAGCUAAAAAGCCCACUUAAGUGUAUGUGGUCCAUAUCUUAUAUUAUGCCAAAAUCACUUAAGCGUGUGGUACCUUACCAUAUUUCGUAUUCUACUUAAGUACACUGUACCUUACGAUGUUCUAUAAUUCACUUAAGUGCACCAUACCUUCUGGUGUUCCUUAGUUACUAUAUCUCUCAUCAAUCCGUCCUUUUGUGUGUGACCCUGUAGGUUUUCGUGGCAUUGGCAAUUAUAUUAAAUCACGUAUUUAACAUAAUAAACAGUGAGUAGUAUCUAGCAACACAUCACUGCUACCCAAGACACAAAAAUGUCAUGUGAUCUGACAAAUCCUUUUGUGAUAAUACUUAUGUGUACAAUUACCCUUUUGCCCUUAUGUCUAUAUUGAACAUAAGGCAUAGACCGUGUCAUCCUUGUCCAGUUCAAUAUUGGGCCCAUAGACAUUUAUCCUGUUAUGCAGGAUGGGCAAAUUCCAUCUAGGUCACUCAUGUCCCUNNNNNNNNNNNNNNNNNNNNNNNNNNNNNNNNNNNNNNNNNNNNNNNNNNNNNNNNNNNNNNNNNNNNNNNNNNNNNNNNNNNNNNNNNNNNNNNNNNNNNNNNNNNNNNNNNNNNNNNNNNNNNNNNNNNNNNNNNNNNNNNNNNNNNNNNNNNNNNNNNNNNNNNNNNNNNNNNNNNNNNNNNNNNNNNNNNNNNNNNNNNNNNNNNNNNNNNNNNNNNNNNNNNNNNNNNNNNNNNNNNNNNNNNNNNNNNNNNNNNNNNNNNNNNNNNNNNNNNNNNNNNNNNNNNNNNNNNNNNNNNNNNNNNNNNNNNNNNNNNNNNNNNNNNNNNNNNNNNNNNNNNNNNNNNNNNNNNNNNNNNNNNNNNNNNNNNNNNNNNNNNNNNNNNNNNNNNNNNNNNNNNNNNNNNNNNNNNNNNNNNNNNNNNNNNNNNNNNNNNNNNNNNNNNNNNNNNNNNNNNNNNNNNNNNNNNNNNNNNNNNNNNNNNNNNNNNNNNNNNNNNNNNNNNNNNNNNNNNNNNNNNNNNNNNNNNNNNNNNNNNNNNNNNNNNNNNNNNNNNNNNNNNNNNNNNNNNNNNNNNNNNNNNNNNNNNNNNNNNNNNNNNNNNNNNNNNNNNNNNNNNNNNNNNNNNNNNNNNNNNNNNNNNNNNNNNNNNNNNNNNNNNNNNNNNNNNNNNNNNNNNNNNNNNNNNNNNNNNNNNNNNNNNNNNNNNNNNNNNNNNNNNNNNNNNNNNNNNNNNNNNNNNNNNNNNNNNNNNNNNNNNNNNNNNNNNNNNNNNNNNNNNNNNNNNNNNNNNNNNNNNNNNNNNNNNNNNNNNNNNNNNNNNNNNNNNNNNNNNNNNNNNNNNNNNNNNNNNNNNNNNNNNNNNNNNNNNNNNNNNNNNNNNNNNNNNNNNNNNNNNNNNNNNNNNNNNNNNNNNNNNNNNNNNNNNNNNNNNNNNNNNNNNNNNNNNNNNNNNNNNNNNNNNNNNNNNNNNNNNNNNNNNNNNNNNNNNNNNNNNNNNNNNNNNNNNNNNNNNNNNNNNNNNNNNNNNCAUAAUAAAGAAAAAGCCUUUUAUUAUUAAUAAAUAAUUCGAUACAAGUACCAAAAGUAUUGGCCUCUAGGGCUUACACCAACAAUCUCCCACUAGCACUAUAGCCAAUCAGGCAUACCCCUAAUGCCCAUAGAUCUAGUAUGGCCAUCAUGCUUCUGCUGCGCAAGAGGCUUUGUUAGUGGGUCAACAAUAUUGUCAAGUGUAGGUACUCUACAUAUUUUCACAUCUCCUCUAUCUUAUAUCUCUCGAAUGAGGUGAUAACGCCUAAGUAUGUGUUUGGAUCGUUGGUGAGAUCUAGGCUCCUUAGCUUGUGCGAUAGCACCAGUUGAUCAGUGCAUUUUGAUGCACAUUCUUCUAUAUUUAUACUUAUGCAUUUCCAUGUUUGAGUUUGGUUAUUUUUUCCUUUUAAUGUGUUUUUAUAAUUUAUCUUAUUUUUACACUUAUUUGUUUUUCGCAGUUUAUUUUCAACAUUAGCAGUCUGUACGAAUAAAUUCAUAAUUGGAGUUAAGAGUAUCGGAUCAAGGCGUACUACCAGUCGUUGGAAAGCUAAGAGAAAGAGAUACGACUUUCAUGAAGAAGUCAGAAGCUAAUUCAGGCUGUAGUAUGGUUGAAAAAUCCGUUGAAGCCUUCAGCACUAGAUUUAUAUUUUGUGUUGGGUUAUUUAGUUUGGGCUUGAGUUAUGUUUUGACCAAAUUAAGUUUAUUCUACUUUUCCUAUAACCUAAGAAGCCGAAAACAGUACACGGUAUCAUUAUUCACGAAAAUUUGAAAGCUGGUACGAAUUCCAUGGAGAACUAAUCCCUCUGAUUCAAUUUGCCGUAAUUCAGGUUCCAAAACUUGAGAUUAUUAUAAUGUUAAUUUUAGUUUAAUUCCUUUCAAUGAUAUUUUGUGUUCUUGUAUGCUUAAUUCGAUUGCAUGAAAUAUAUUGAUUCAAUUUGGUUGAUUGUAUGAUCCUAACAUAGGCACGUCACGUUUGCUUAAUUCGUUUUUGUGUCUGAUCAAUCAUGUUUGCUUAAUCCAUGAAAACUUAUCCCGUUUGCUUAAUUCGGACAAUAGGAUCAUACAUCUCACAAACUUCACCGCACUUGUCAUUGAGUUUAUAUCCAAAUAGGAAUAGACAAUUCGCUUAGGGUAUUAAAAUUAUAUUAAUCGAUGAUAGUAGGAACUGAAUCGGUAGAUUGAAUUAUUUCAUAAUCACUUAUUUCAUAAUAGCUUAUUUCAAGAAUUGAUUUUAAUAAUCACUUUUUCUUAAUCGAACACCAAACCAAACAACCCCCCCCCCCUUAAUUCGAUUUACCUUUGGAUAAUAAUAAUCAAGAAUCCUUGUGAGAACGAUAUCCGAGUUAAAAUUGUCGCCGUACUAUAUUUUUGAAAAACACUCGUUUUGACCCGCGCGCGACAGCGGAUCAAAUUGGCGUCGUUGCCGGGGAUUCUUGUAGAUUUUAACCAUUAUUAUAGUCAUAGGUGUUUUAACAUUUUCUUGCCUUAACUUUCUUACGUUCGGGUCUUUUUGCGUUUUAGAAUUAAAAAAAAAUCUGUUUUUUUAAAAAAAUCGUCUCAAAUUAUUCCGAUUCUUUUUCGAUUAACUAGGAAAAAAUCAAGGAUCAAAAGCCUCUAUUUAGAGACUAAAUAGUGGAGGUCAUCCUAAAAACCUGAAAUUCCUUAAUUUUCUAUUUUUUAUGAUUUUUUUUUCUGUUUUGAUAGUUUCAGAAAAUUCCGAAAAAAUUUAAUUGACGUUAUUAGAUUAACUUUCGUAUUUUUGUAUUUUUUUUGUAUUUUAUUUUAAUCAUUUUUUUCGUAUUUCAAUUGUUUGUUCUUAAUAGGAACAUUGUCAGUAUUUUCUAUUUGUUGCUGCAUUGCUGAAUUAGUUAUGUGUUUUCUCAUUCUUUGUUGAUUUUUUUUCUAUUGAGUUUAAUAUGGCUGACCAAAGAACUCUGAGAGAACUUGCUGCUCCUAAUAUGAAUUACAAUGGUUUAUGUAUUGAAUAUGUUGAUAUUAUUGUUCCUUUUGAAUUAAAAUCGGGUUGAAUACACUUGUUGCCCAAGUUUAGUGGUCUUGCAGGUGAGGAUCCGCACAAACAUUUGAAAGAACUCUAGGUGGUGUGUUUUACACCAUUGAAGCCUGAAGGGAUCAUUGAAUAUCACAUCAAACUUCGAGCUUUUCCUUUUUCAUUGCAGGGUGCAACAAAGGAUUGAUAUAUUAUCUCGAGCCAAAUUCAAUUGCGACUUGGAAUGAUUUGAAGAGAGUCUUCCUAGAGAGAUACUUUCCUACCUCCAGGGCUGCAUCAAUCCGAAAAGAAAUAUAUGGUAUUAGACAGGGAAAUGAGUCAUUGGCUGAGUAUUGGGAGAGAUUCAAACAAUUAGUAUCCAGUUGCCUUUAACAUCAAAUUACCGAACAACUACUCAUCCAGUACUUUUAUGAGGGUUUGAUAUCGAUGGAUAGGAACAUUCUUGAUGCUGCUAGUGGUGGAGCACUUGUUGAUAAGACUCCAGCUGUUGUCAAAGCCCUUAUCGAAAAUAUGUCCCUUAAUUCCCAACAGUUCACUACUAGAGACAAUUCUGUGCAAAGCAAAGGUGUGAAUCAAAUUCAGGUUUCUUCCAACAAAGCUUUAGAGACCAGAAUUGACAUAUCGAAAAUAUGUCCCUUAAUUCCCAACAGUUCACUACUAGAGACAAUUCUGUGCAAAGCAAAGGUGUGAAUCAAAUUCAGGUUUCUUCCAACAAAGCUUUAGAGACCAGAAUUGACGAGCUCACUCCCUUAGUCAAACAACUGGCAGUAGCAAAACCUCAAACAAUAACAGUGUGUGGUAUUUGUACUUUUCAUGAGCACCCGACCGAUACUUGUCCUAUUUUGAGAUAUGAGUCCAUUACUAAGCUGCCUCAAGCUUAUGCAUCCAACCUUUACAAUCAAAACAGGUAUAAUAAUACUCCUGACCUGUCCACCAACAAGUACCAUCCCGAUUGGAGGAACCAUCCCAACCUUCAAUAUGGAAACCCACAAUAGAACCCACCUCAAGUAGCUGCCUUGCACCUUCCGGACCAUCCUUAGAAGAUCUUGUCAAACAAAUGGGCGCCAAUAAUCUCCAAUUCCAACAAAGGACCGAUUCUAGCAUUCAGACCUUGAACACGCAAAUGGGACAACUUGUUACUCAAAUAAAUAACAUGCAAGCCCAAGGGUCGAACCAACUUCCAGCUCAAACAGUUGUCAAUCCAAAGGAUUCUAAUGCUAAUGUGAGUGCGAUUUCGUUGAGAUCUGGAAAGGUUAUAGAAACAGCCCCUGAAAAAAUAAAAAAAAAUUAUUGAGGUAACAUCUGAACCUGAACCUACUCCAUCUGAACUUGUUUCAUCUGAAAAAAUUAAAGAAAAAGAGUAUGUGCCACCAGUCCCCUUCCCACAUAGAGUUCUGAAAAAUAAAAGAAUUGAGGAGGGAGACAAGGAAAGAAAAGAGUAUGUGCCACCAGUCCCCUUCCCACAUAGAGUUCUGAAAAAUAAAAGAAUUGAGGAGGGAGACAAGGAAAGAGAGAUAUUGGAUGUUUUUAGAAAAGUUGCGGUAAAUAUUCCGCUUCUUGGUGUAAUUAAACAGGUUUCUAAGUAUGCAAAGUUUCUGAAGGAUUUGUGUACAAAUAAGAGGAGGAUUAAAGGAAGUUAGAGAGUUAACUUGGGAAGAAAUAUUUAUGCUUUUGUUCAGCCCAAGCCUUCAUCUGAAAAAGUUACAGGUGAGAAAAAUGUUUCAGCCAUCACUCAGCUCUUGCCAUAAAAGCAGAAGGAUCCGGGAACUUUUACUGUCCUUUGUACCAUCGGGGAUAGUAAAUUCGAGAAUUGCAUGCUUGAUUUGGGAGCGGGCAUUGAUUUUAUGCCUACUUCUAUUUAUAAUAACCUUAAUCUUGGUCCUUUGCAGCAUACAGGUUUGAUCGUCCAACUAGCAAACAGGAGCAAUGCACGCCCGACUGGCGUAGUGGAAGAUGUGUUUGUCCAAGUUAACGAUUUAAUUUUUCCUGCAGAUUUUUACAUUCUGGACAUGGAAGGAGAGACUAAGACAAGCAUAGCUCCCAUCAUUUUAGGAAGACCGUUCAUGAAAACGGCGAAGACAAAAAUUGAUGUUGACGAUGGAACCAUGUCCAUGGAAUUUGGUGACAUUGUCGCAAAAUUUAACAUUUUCGAUGCCAUGAAAAGAAAACGGCGAAGACAAAAAUUGAUGUUGACGAUGGAACCAUGUCCAUGGAAUUUGGUGACAUUGUCGCAAAAUUUAACAUUUUCGAUGCCAUGAAACACCCCUUGGAAGAGCAUUUUGUUUUUCAUAUGGAAUUGAUAUCUGAGCUGGUUGAGGACACUUGUUCUGAUUUAUUUUCACUUGAUUUUCCAUCUUUAUCUGGUUUCGAUGAUAUUUACUCAUGUGUUGAUUGUAUUGACACUAACCUUUGUGUUGUGUGUGCGGAGAUUGAUGUUGCCUUGCAGCCUGAUACAUUUCCUAUAGGUGAAGUUGUUGCCGAUGAAGUUGUUUUUGCAGUUGAUGCUCUUGACAUCCCGGCUGCCCCAAGCAUUCCAUCUAUAGAGCAACCCCCGUCUUUAGAGCUGAAACAGCUCCCUGAAAACCUGAAAUACGCUUAUUUGGAGACUAAUGAAAAACUCCCUGUUAUUAUUUCUUCUAACCUUGAUUUCGAUCAGGAAGACAAGCUUUUGCAUGUUUUAAAGAAGCACAAGAAGGCAAUCGGGUGGAAAUUAGCCGACCUUCCAGGUAUUAGUCUGUCGAUGUGCAUGCACAUGAUAUUACUUGAGGAUGGAGCGAAAACAGUAAGGCAGCCCCAAAGGAGGCUUAAUCCUUUUAUUCUUGAUGUUGUGAAGAAGGAGGUAACCAAACUCUUGCAAGCAGGUGUCAUUUAUCCUAUCUCUGACAGUAAAUGGGUAAGCCCAGUGCAGGUUGUACCUAAGAAAUCAGGACUCACAGUGGUAAAAAAUGAAAAGAAUGAACUUGUUCCCACUAGAGUUCAGAACAACUAGAGAGUUUGUAUUGAUUAUAGGAGAUUGAACCAGGCUACGAGAAAGGAUCACUUUCCUUUACCGUUCAUUGACCAAAUGCUUAAACGGCUUGCUGGUAAAUCACAUUACUAUUUUCUUGAUGGUUUUUCAGGUUACUUUCAGAUUCAUAUUGCACCGGAAGAUCAAGAGAAGACCACUUUUACUUGUCCCUUCGGUACUUUUGCUUACAGGAGGAUGCCUUUUGGUCUUUGCAAUGCUCCUGGCACUUUUCAGCGAUGCAUGAUUAGCAUUUUUUCUGAUUUCAUUGAAAAUUGCAUGGAAGUCUUUAUGGACGAUUUCACUGUCUAUGGUUCCUCUUUUGAUGCAUGCUUGAGCAGUUUAAGCUUGAUUUUAGAAAGAUGCAUCGAAACUGAUCUCGUUUUAAAUUAUGAAAAAUGCCACUUUAUGGUUGAUCAGGGAAUUGUAUUGGGUCACAUAAUUUCAGAAAAAGGAAUUUCUGUUGACCCUGCUAAAAUAGAUGUGAUUUCUACACUGCCUUACCCUUCUUGCGUUCGCGAGAUUCGUUCUUUUCUUGGUCAUGCAGGUUUUUACAGGCGUUUCAUCAAGGAUUUCAGCAAGAUAGCUCUUCCGCUGUCAAACUUGUUGAAGAAUGAUGUCACUUUCAACUUUGAUGACAAAUGCAAACAAGCGUUUGACUUCUUGAAGAAAGCAUUGACCUCCGCUCCCAUAAUCCAGCCACCGGACUGGACCCUCCCUUUUGAGAUUAUGUGUGAUGCGUCUAAUUAUGCUGUUGGGGUUGUCCUUGCACAAAGGGUUGACAGGGCUGCCCAUGUUGUUUACUAUGCUUCUAGAACUUUAGAUUCUGCACAGUCAAAUUACACUACCACUGAAAAAGAACUGCUAGCUAUUAUUUUUGCUCUUGAUAAAUUUAGAUCAUAUUUGCUAGGUUCCAAGGUUGUUGUUUUUACUAACCAUGCAGCAUUAAAUUACUUGUUGAAGAAGCCAGAUGCAAAACCGAGAUUGAUUCGGUGGAUAUUGUUGGUCCAAGAAUUUAAUGUAGAGAUUAAAGACAAAAGUGGAGCUGAGAACUUAGUGGCUGACCACUUGAGCAGGAUAGAGAGAGAUGCAUAUCCUUUUCCUAUUCAAGAUGACUUUCCUGAUGAGCAACUUUUUCUUUUGCAUGGGAUUACACCUUGGUUUGCUGACAUUGUUAAUUUUCUUAUUGCUGGUGUUUUUUCUACAGGUGCAUCUAGAUCACAGAUUCACAAACUCAAGAGUGAUGCCAAAUAUUAUGUUUGGGAUGAUGCAUAUCUUUAGAAGUUUGGUAGUGAUCAGGUAAUUAGGAGAUGUGUCCCUGACUAUGAGAUUGAAUCCAUUUUGAAAUUUUCUCAUGCAUCUCAAGUCGGAGGACACUUUGGUCCGCAAAGGACUGCAAGAAAAGUCCUUGAUUUAGGUUUUUAUUGGCCAACUGUUUUUAAGGAUGCUUAUGAGACUUACCGCACUUGUAAAGAGUGCCAGAUAGCAUAUACAAACAUCACUCGCAAGAGUGAAAUGCCUCAGCAACCUAUGCUUUUCUGUGAGGUAUUUGAUGUAUGGGGAAUCGACUUCAUGGGUCGCUUUCCUGUAUCAUUUAGUUUCCUUUAUAUUUUGCUUGUUGUUGAUUAUGUUUCAAUGUGGGUGGAAGUUAUCCCCACUAGUACUAAUGAUUCUAAAGUUGUUGCAGAUUUUGUCAGGUCUAAUAUCUUUUACAGGUUUGGAAUACCACGAGCUAUCGUAAGUGACCAAGGCACUCAUUUCUGUAACCGCACCAUGGAAGCUUUGCUCCGGAAGUAUGGAGUUGUGCACAAAGUCUCUACUGCAUAUCACCCACAAACUAAUGGGCAAAUUGAGCUCUCAAACAGGGAGAUCAAACAAGUUUUAGAGAAAAUGGUGUAGCCAAACAGGAAGGACUGGAGUCGUCGUCUAGAAGACGCACUUUGGGCCCAAAGAACAACUUUCAAGACACCCAUUGGGAUGUCUCCUUAUAAACUUGUUUUUGGUAAGGCAUGUCAUCUUCUUGUUGAGAUAGAACACCGUGCUUAUUGGGCGGUGAAAAGUUGUAAUUUGGAGAUGCAACAAGCAGGUAUUGAAAGAAAACUCCAAUUGCAACAGCUGGAAGAGCUUAGACUAGAGGCUUAUGAAAUCUCUAGGAUUUAUAAAGAGAAAACUAAGCACUUCCAUGAUAAAAUGAUUUCUAGGAAGGAAUUUUCUGUGGGCCAACAGGUUUUACUGUUUAACUCUCGCCUUAAGCUUAUGGCUGGGAAACUUCGAAUCUAGGAAGGAAUUUUCUGUGGGCCAACAGGUUUUACUGUUUAACUCUCGCCUUAAGCUUAUGGCUGGGAAACUUCGAUCCAAAUGGAUUGGCCCUUUUGUUAUUACUAAUGUUUUCCCUUAUGGUGUAGUAGAAAUAAAAAGUGCAGGUACUAACAAGACUUUCAAAGUCAAUGGGCAACGCUUGAAGCUAUUCCAUGAAAGUUCAAUGACUGAAGAUGUCAGCAUAGAAGAGCUUUCUUUGGAAGCACCUAACUACCCUGCAACUUGAUCAGGGAGUCUUUCUUUCCUUCUCUCUACUUUAUUAGUAAUGUCUUUUCAUUGAAGGCAAUGCUUAUUUUAAGUGUGGGGGAGGGAAAUCGUUUGUUUCGUUUGUUUUCCUUGUUUUUUUAGUGUUUUGUUUUUUUUCAGUCAUAAAAAAAUAAAAAAAAAUGCAUCUUCUUGAAAGUUUUAGGCUAUAGACUGACUAAUUUGAGAUUAGUUAGCGGAGACUUGGGAAAAAUUCAUAAGAUCGGUAUCGUCUUAACACCGUAAGUCUCCUGCAUAUGGAAAUUGAUUUGAAUUCUUAUUAUGUUUUAGCCUUAAAUUCUCAUUCUCUGACAGCUCUUGAGUAGUUUAUUUCAGCAGUCAGCACAACCGUAAGUCUCCUGCAUAUGGAAAUUGAUUUGAAUUCUUAUUAUGUUUUAGCCUUAAAUUCUCAUUCUCUGACAGCUCUUGAGUAGUUUAUUUCAGCAGUCAGCACCAUCUCACACACACUCUACGUAGGGAAACCGAUGAAUAUAAGCGAGUGUUCCGAAAAAGAAAAAAAAGAGAAAGAAAAGGGAAUGCACCUUCUAAGUUUGGUGACCCUCACCUGGUCACUUAACCCAACGGAUGUAGAACCUUAAAAAAAAUUGAAAAUAAGACUCGUUGUCAGUUGGUUCAGCGGUUUCUGGUGUUCAACUUGGUAGGGCGAAUUACGGUCCGAUCCCCCGCAACUACAACUGAGUAAGCAAAGGGUUAUGCCAUGUAAGUACUAGAAUCCCGUGCAAAAAGGAUCAAAGUCACUAACCGGUCACCUUGCUAUGGGUGUGUGGAGAUAACAAGCUUAAUGUGAUUGCGCCUGAAUGAAAAAGAGCAAAAAGAAGGAUGAGUAAGUUAGGCUUUAACAUAGUAACAUGAUUCGAGUUGAUUUGUGUAUUCAGGAGGUUUAUGACUGCACAAUUAUGAUUAGUGUUCCUACGAUAUCCUUAGUGUGCAAGAUUAGUACCUAUCGAUGUAAACUUAACCGAAGAAGACUUGUAGCCUAGGAUGAGUAACUAAUGAUGUGUUUGUGUUUUCUUUGUUUUAUUUUAAAUUUUGCUCGGAGUGUAAAAGUUCAAGUGUGGAGGAAUUUGAUCAGUGCAUUUUGAUGCACAUUCUUCUAUAUUUAUACUUAUGCAUUUCCAUAUUUUAGUUUGGUUAUUUUUCCCUUUUAAUGUGUUUUUAUAAUUUAUCUUAGUUUUACACUUAUUUGUUUUUCGCAGUUUAUUUUCAGCAUUAGCAGUCUGUACGAAUAAAUUCAUAACUAGAGCUAGGAGUAUCAGAUCGAGGCGUGCUACCAGUAGUUGGAAAUCUAAGAGAAAGAGCUACGACUUUCAUGAAGAAGUCAGAAGCUAAUUCAGACUGUAGCAUGGUUGAAAAAUCUGUUGAAGCCUUCAGCACUAGAUUUAUAUUUUGUGUUGGGUAAUUUAGUUUGGGCCUGGGUUAUGUUUUGACCAAAUUAGGUUUAUUCUACUUUUCCUAUAACCUAAGCAGCCGAAAACAGUACACGGUAUCACUAUUCACGAAAAUUUGAAAGCUGGUACGAAUUCCAUGGAGAACUAAUCCCUCUGAUUCGAUCUGCCGUAAUUCAGGUUCCAAAACUUGAGAUUAUUAUAAUGUUAAUUUUAGUUUAAUUCCUUUCAAUGAUAUUUUGUGUUCUUGUAUUGCUUAAUUCGAGUUGCAUGAAAGAUAAUUGAUUUCAAUUUGGUUGAUUGUAUGAUCUCUAACAUAUGGCACGUCACGUUUGCCUAUUCGUUUUGUGUCUGAUCAAUCUGUUUGCUUAGAUCCAUGAAAACUAUCCGUUUGCCUAUAUUUCUGAACAAUACGGAUCAUAACAUCUCACAAACAUCCACCGCGUUUGUCAUUUGAAAGUUUGUAUCCAAAUGGGAAUAGACAACCGCUUAGGUAUCAUAAAUUAUAUUAUCGAUGAUAGUAGGAACUGAAUCGGUAGAUUGAAUUAUUUCAUAAUCACUUAUUUCAUAACAGCUUAUUUCAAGAAUUGCUUUUAAUAAUCACUUUUUCUUAAUCGAACACCAAACCAAACAAGCCCCCCUUAAUUCGAUUUACCUUUGGAUAAUAAUAAUCAAGAAUCCUUGUGAGAACGAUAUCCGAGUUAAAAUUUUCGCAGUACUACGUUUUUGAAAAACACUCAUUUUGACCCGCGCGCGACAGCGGAUCACCAUUUUUAUCACAAUAGAAACCAAUGGGAUCCAUAAUGCUAGGAACUAUGCCAAGUUCACUAAUGAACUUUUUGAUCCAAACAGCUUCCUUUGCUGCACUUGAGGCAACAAUAUACUCGACCUUGGUUGUAGAAUCAGCAACUGUAUCUUGCUUUGAACUUUUCCAGCUCACAACGCCACCGUUUAAGCAAAACACAUAACCAGAUUGUGAUUUAAAGUCAUCCUUAUCUGUCUGGAAGCUAGCAUCGGUGUAUCCAAUUACAGCAAGCUCUUCCUAACCUCCAUAUAUCAAAAAUGAGUCCUUAGUCUUUCUCAAAUACUUAAGGAUAUUCUUGAUAGCUACCCAAUGAGCAUCACCGGGAUCAUAUUGGUACCUACUCAUUGCACUUAAAGCAUACGAGACAUCUGGUCGAGUACAUAACAUGGCAUACAUGAUAGAUCCUAUUGCAGAUGCAUAUGAAAUUUUAUUCAUGCAAUCCCUUUCUUCCUUAGUUGAAGGGGAAUGUGUUUUUGAUAGACACAUGCCAUGUUGCAUAGGCAUGAAUCCUUUCUUAGAAUCAUGCAUAUUAAAACGUCUCAACACUUUGUCUAUGUAUGUACUUUGACUUAGGCCAAGUAGUUUUUAUGAUCUAUCUCUAUAGAUCCUGAUUCCUAAUAUAUAGGCUGCUUCACCCAAGUCCUUCAUAGAAAAGCAUUUCCCCAACCAAGACUUUACUUGUUGUAAGGUAGGGACAUCGUUUCCAAUGAGUAAUAUGUCAUCUACAUAUAAUACCAGGAAAAUGAGCAUGCUCCCACUAACCUUCUUGUAGACACAAGGCUCAUCUUCGUUCUUGAUGAAUCCAUAUUGUUUUACUGUUUCAUCAAAACGAAGAUUCCAGCUUCUGGAAGCUUGCUUCAAUCCAUAUACUGAUCUUUGUAACUUACAUAUCUUUUGGGCUUCUCUGGUAUGUCAAAUCCUUCAGGCUGUGUCAUGUACACAUCCUCAAGAAGAUUCCCAUUAAGGAAAGCAAUUUGACAUCCAUCUGCCAUAUUUCAUAAUCAUGAUAUCAGGAGAUAACAAGUAAAAUCCGAACAGAUUUAAGCAUUGCAACUGGUGAAAAGGUUCAUCAUAGUCAACCCCAUGAAUUUGUUAUAUCCUUUUGCAACCAGUCGCCUUAUAGGUAUGUACCUUACCAUCCAUGACAGUCUUCUUUUUGAAUAUCCACUUGAUCCUAUAGGUUAACGUCCUACAGGAGGCUCUACCAAGGUCCAAACUUGGUUUGUGUACAUGGAAUCCAUUUCAGAUUUCAUGGCUUCUAGCCACUUCUCAGACUCGGGACCAAUUAUGGCCUCUUGGUAGGUCACAGGCUCAUAUUGAUCCAUGAGUAAUACAUCACCUUGAUCUGUUAUGAGAUAUCCAUAUCUCUCAGGUAGGUGAUGUAUCCUGCUUGACCUACGUUGGUCUUGUUCUACUUGAGCAGGUUGCUCUUUCACAACUACUUGUGUUUCCUACUCUAAUUCCUCCAUAGGUGUAUCAAUGCUUUGUGAUUCUUGAAUUUCUUCAAGCUCUACUUUCCUCCCACUGAUUCCUUUUGAAAUAAAAUCCUUUUAUAGGAAAACUUCAGUUCGAGCGACAAACACUUUGCCCUCGGAAGGAUUGUAGAAGUAAUACCCUCUUGUUUCUUUAGGAUACCCCACAAAUAAGCAUUUGUCAGAUUUAGGCCCAAGCUUAGUUGAAAUUUGUCAUUUCACAUAAACUUCGCAACCCCAAAUCUUCAUGUAAGACAUAUGUGGUUUCUUACCACUCCAUAUCUCAUAUGGUGUCUUUUCAACCUUUUUGGAUGGAAUACGGUUAAGUGUGUAAGCUGCUGUCAAUAAUGCAUGUCCCCAAAAGGAGUUUGGAAGAUCGGCGUGAAUCAUCAUGGAUCGGACCAUGUCUAACAGGUUUCGAUUUCUUAUCUCAGAUGCACUGUUCCAUUAGGGUGUCCCAGGAGGAGUAAGUUAGGAUAAAAUUCCACACUCUUUCAGAUGGUCAUCAAACUCUAGGCUUAAAUACUCACCACCUGGAUCUGAUCGAAGAGUUUUAAUAUUCUUACCUAGUUAGUUUUGUACUUCAUUCUUGAAUUCCUUGAACUUUUCAAAGGACUCUCAUUUGUGUUUCAUUAAAUACACAUAACCAUAUCUACUGAAAUCAUCAGUAAAUGUGAUGAAGUACUGAAAACCUCUCAUGGCUGGUAUGUUCAGUGGUCCACAUACAUCAGUAUGUAUGAGGGCCAAAAGAUCAUUAGCUCUUUCACCUUUUCCUGUGAAUGGAGACUUUGUCAUCUUUCCAAUUAAACAAGAUCUACAUGUCUCAUUAGCUCUUUCACCUUUUCCUGUGAAUGGAGACUUUGUCAUCUUUCCAAUUAAACAAGAUCUACAUGUCUCAUAUGAUUCAUAAUCAAAAGAGUCCAAGAGUCCAUCUUUAUGGAGUUUAGAAAUGCGUUUCUCAUUUAUGUGGCCUAAUCGACAAUGCCAAAGGUAAGUUGGAUUUAACUCCUUAGGUUUCAUCCUUUUAGUAUUAAUGUUAUAAAUAAGCAUUUCAAGAUCAAGGACAUAUAGUCCAUUGUUCAUUUGUGCAGUAGCAUAGAAUAUGUCAUUCAAAUAAAGUGAGCAAUAAAUUGUUCUUUAUUAUAAAUGAAAAACCAAACUUGUCCAAACAAGAAACGGAAAUAAUAUUACUGCUAAUUACAGGUACAUAAUAACAGUUCUCUAAUUGAAUUAUUAAACCAUUAGGUAAAGUCAAUACAUAAGUUCCUACGGCUAAAGCAACAACCGCAUCCAUUAUCUAAUACCCAUGAUGCAGAAGUAGAUAAAUUAAUUUCAAUAACAAAAAUACUCGAAGUUGAAGUCUCUACUCCAUUCUUCUUAUCUUCCAGGUACUUUGGGCAGUUUCUCUUCCAGUGUCCGGUCUUACCGCAAUGGAAGUAGGUGCCUUCCUUUGUUAUGCCUCCACUAGGCUUCAAAGCAGCAACAGUGGGUUUGGGUUUGGCAUCUUCCUUGCCUUUUCCUUUAUCACCCUGCUUGGUGGGUUUUUUGUUCUGUCUCUUUCCAUUUCCGAUCAUCAGAAUGGACUUCCCUUUUGACUUCAGAUUUUACUCAGCAGUUCUUAACAUGGCUAGUAGUUCAGGAAGAGAUUUGUCCAUAUCAUUCAUAUUGAAGUUAAGGACAAAUUGACUGAAUCUAUUUGACAACGAUUGUAAGAUCAAAUCAGUCGCAAGUUCCUUUCCGAGGGGAAAACCCAACCUCUCAAGGUUCUCCACAUACCCAAUCAUCUUGAGCACAUGGGGACCUACAGGGGCCCCCUCAGCUAACUUGCCUUGAAAAGGGGCUUUUGAAACUUCAAACCUUUCAUGCCUUGCUUUCUCUUGAUAGAGCAUCUUCAGGUGUUCGAUCAUAUCGAAUGCUGCCAUGUUCUCAUGUUGCUUUUGCAACUCUGAGUUCAUGGUAACUUGCAUGAGGCAAGCCGUUUCAUUGGCAUUAUCGACAUGCUUCUUAUAAGCACCUCUUUCUGCCUUAAGUGCAGAACUAGGAGGUUCCUCUUCAGGAACAGGUUUCUCCAAGACAUACAACUUUCUAUCAUGUUUGAGGAUAAUCCUCAGAUUUCAGUGUCAAUCCAGAAAAUUUGUCCCAGACAAUUUUUCUUUGUCAAGGAUUAAUCGCAAAAUGUUGUUAGAGGUGUUUGUUGUCAUGGUAAUCUACAUGAAAAUAAUGAAAAUAUAAGUAUCAAUAACAUAUUUAAUUUCCGGAAAUUAAUUUAUACGAGGGUGAUUUUUACUCAAAACAAAUGACCCUCACCAUUUGAUUCAGAAAAUCCCGUUGGAAGAUUUUCUAGUGGAUCGAGAUCCACAUUUCACUUUGUUUUAAGUCCGCGUAGGCGGAUUACACAAAACUAGGUUAUUUAGAUAGGAACUCCUUCCAAUUGUAUCUAAUACAACUCUCGAAUAUUUUAGUUGGUGAAUAACUCCUUAUUCCAAUCCAUCACAUGGAUCAUUUCCAACUAUUUCUUCUAAACAUAUAUAAUCUUAUUAUAAUUUGUUUAGUUAAGUUUGACCCAUUAUUUUAGCAAUUGGAUAUUACAAUUAUCCCAUCGCACCUUACUAAUAUAGAACAUGCACCUCGCGUAGGCAAAACCUACAUUAUUCGAUACUAGUCUUGAUGAGUGCUAAAACUUGGAAAUCAUAAGCUUAAUAUUUAAUUUGAGGGAAUUUGCAAUUAUUCUGAUCUCACCGACUUAUUUAUCAUAUUAAUCGUCUCUCACAUGCAUCAACAUACAUUUAUAUGCAUCAACAUACAUAAUGAAAUAGUUAUGGCCCCUAGUGCAAUUGUUCUCCCAAGCCAAUGAGAGAACCUAAGCUAACCUAAUAACGAUCUAAGCUUCUCCAAGCAAGAUCUUCAAGGUUGUCCUCCUUUGAUAUUGUAUUCUUCUCUUUCUUCAUAACAUAAACAUUAUAUAUAAAGAAACUCGUUUUACAUACGAGGGAGUGAGAUGAGAAAAGAAGUUACAUUAAGAGAUUAAAAGAGAGGCACGACACGCAUGUCGUAUUUUAAAAUCCCAAAACAAAAUAAAGGAAAACUAAGGCCAUAACCGAUCACCGCAAGACAAUAAUAAUAAACACAUUAUUAUCAUUAAUUUAAAUUAUGUUAAUUAAUUAAAACCAAAUUAAAUUUCGGCGACCGAUCACACUAUGCAGAGUUAGCCGGGGGUUCCGCUGCCCGUUCAGUGGAGGGGUCAGGGGGGCAGCGCCCCGACUCAAAUUUUUAAUGAAUAAUUCAUUUUAAAUCGACGUCGUUUUUCGCAUCAACACUUGAUACUUUAAAGCACAACUCUUGCGCAGUCACAACCCUAAUCACAUAACUCUUUGACAAUACAACCUUUGUGCCGUCAUUAAUCCUAAUGCACUAAUUUCAGACCGUCAAACACACCUCGAUUGUUAAUUCAGUAUGAUUGAUCAAUACAUCAUUGCUUCAUCAUACUAAUGUCGGAUCAAGAAGCAAAUGACCAUUAAUCGCUUAAAGGAAAACAACCAUUAAGUGUUUGAAUGAACGAAACAGAAACAAUAUAUCAUAUAUACCGUAUUUUGCAUCAGGAUUACUUAUAUCAUAUAUAUAACUUGAUCGAUCUCAAUUGUGUAACCUAUGAAACGAAACAGAAACAAUAUAUCAUAUAUACCGUAUUUUGCAUCAGGAUUACUUAUAUCAUAUAUAUAACUUGAUCGAUCUCAAUUGUGUAACCUAUGGACAAUCGAUGUAUCGCUGCUUCACCAUACCAACAUCGGAUUCCGAAGCAUAGUCAACAUCAAUCAUCCAAGUCGUACACACAUGAUGCCAAAUUUAAUUACUCAUUUAUUCUUUGAUUCAUUCUGUCUUUUAAUCGUAUUAAUACAGAAAAUACAGAAAAUAAACAGCUAUCAGAUACAUGGUUUCGUAAGUGGCUCUGAUACCACUGAAGGAGAAGGGCGAUCCAAAACGCAACGGAAUUUAAAAAUUUCUUCUUUAGUGAUCCUUACGAAUGGACAUGAUCAGUGAUAGAAUCGUUACCUUUUGUGGCGAUUGAAACCUUUGAUGCAGAUCUACGGAGCGAUCACGAACGUUGAAUGGUGAUAACACCUCUACUCAGUCCACACGAACAGAUUCCUUCAAUCUCAGUGCUAGCUGCUACGAAUGAAGGCUUUGAGUCUCUCUCUCUCUCUCUCUAACAAAAUUGCAACUGCACAAAUACUUCUGCACAAGGGUUCUAUUUAUAGAACCACUUGUAUGGGCUGCAAGCUAAAAAGCCCACUUAAGUGUAUGUCGCCCAUAUCUUAUAUUAUGCCAAAAUCACUUAAGCGCGUGGUACCUUACCAUAUUUUGUAUUCUACUUAAGUGCACCGUACCUUACGAUGUUCUACAAUUCACUUAAGUGCACCGUACCCUACGGUGUUCCUUAGUUAAUCUAUCUCUCAUCAAUCCGUCCUUUUAUGUGUGAUCCUGUAGGUUUUCGCGGCAUUGGCAAUUAUAUUAAAUCACGUAUUUAACAUAAUAAACAAUGAGCGCUAUCUAGCAACACAUCACUGCUACCCAAGACAAGAAAAUGUCAUGUGAUCUGACAAAUCCUUUUGUGAUAAUACUUAUGUGUAUAAUUAUCCUUUUGCCCUUAUGUCUAUAUUGAACACAAGGCAUAAACUGUGUCAUCCUUGUCCAGUUCAAUAUUGGGCCCAUAGACAUUUAUCAUGUUACGCAGGAUGGGCAAAUUCCAUCUAGGUCACUCAUGUCCCUCAGCAUGCUUCGUGGAGUAUCCAUCAGCUGUCUUUAUGGUCGUUCAGUUACAGACAACGUUUGAUCAGCAAUAAGGCACUCGACUUUACAUCUAGGGUCCAUAGUGUUUUCAGGUCGAAGGGUGGUAUACACCAUUAUCACCAUGAGAAUAACUUAUGACACUUUGCAUAACAUUCUAUAUAGUAUUCUCAUAGCGGGUCAAUCCAGUAUAAAUAUUACUCUUAAUAUUCAUACCUAUGUUUAAGACUUGAUAACUCCUUAUCCAUGAUCCAUGAGAUGUGAUCAUCAAUCUAUAUACAUAAUAGUCUUAAUGCUUUAAUGUUAUCCCACUUCACAAUAAAGCUCGACUACGGAUACUUUAAGAAUAAUGUCAUUAUGUUUAAUGUGAUCUCAUUAUUAAGUCACACUUGAUACAUUAAACGGACUAGCUAUUCUAGGGACUUUAUUAAACAAACAUAAUAAAGAAAAAGUCUUUUAUUAUUAAUAAAUAAUUCGAUACAAGUACCAAAAGUAUUGACCUAUAGGGCUUACACCAACAGAUGUAACCAUGCGUUCCUAUUAAGGGUACGUUAGAGAACUCUCCACAUCUUACGAUGACGUCUUUUGUAUCCCAUUCCCUCUUGUACCAUAGAAUUGAGUUCGCAGAGAGAGAUGAGAACCUUUGCGGCCAUGUCAGUUUGUUUUCAGCAAAAGGUCCACUUUGAGGCAUGCGGCCCCUCAUCCAUAGAUGUAACAUAGGAGCGCAACAGAGGAAAGUACCUCCAUUCUUCUUAUGCCUUGUAUGAAAGGUAUGGUAGAAGUCGGCAAGUAAAAAAGGCACCGGAUUCUUUGUUAGAAAGACUUCAACUGCUAAAUGAUCCACGAACUUGUCCAUAUUUGGGAAGAGGACAAUUCCAUGGAUCAAAAGUGCCAAGGUUGCACUAAAGAAGUCGAGUCUUCCUUUUUUAAUCAUUUCCCAAGCAUGGGUUUUGAGGAACUUUUGGGUUAAACCUUUGAUGGAUCCUUUAACGCCCCAAUUGUCCACUAGCUUGUUGGUGUUGAUACCCAAGGUGAGUGAGAUCUCGGUUAAACAGAAGCCUUCUUCCAACUCCGGGAAAGGGUUGUACUAUUUGAUUGAUCAAUUGAGGAGUCUCUCGAGGUCUUCCAAGGUUGGAGAGAUUUGGAAUUCAUGGAAAGUGAAGCAUCUUAAAGGGACGUCAUAGUAUUGGGACAUUGUAGUGAUAACACCAUAGUCAACCUUCUCGGUUAGAAGAUCUACGAUGUUCCCAAAAUUGGCUCUAAACUUGUUGUCUUUGAGAACUACGACCUUUGAGCAGAUGACCUUUAAUGAAAUGAUGUCGAGACUCUUGAAGCGGAAAGUAGAGGUGCUUUUCCUUGUUGAGGUAUCCAUGAUUGUGUCGGAAAAUAGUCUUGUAAUUAUGUGUUUGAACAAAUGAAAAUUUUAAGAGCUUUGCUUAUUAUUUUGAUGAUGAAUGAAUGAUUGGUUUAUUAUUUCCACAGGAUUUUAGGCAUGAGUUCAAGGUUUUGGACCAUCGUAACGAAGCAUGGAGUUAAUAAUGACUGCUUAGUAAACCAAGGUUCUCGCUUUGUAUGAUCUAAGACUUUUGGAAAAUUGGGUGUAAGACACUGCCCAUAGAGUCAUGAACUUCCUUGACUGUCAGCCGCUUAUGUCAAUUUACUUGCCAGACAACUGCUCCAUCAAAGUCAUCUACUCUAAGUGAGAUCUUCGUAUCGACCCUUACGAGGAAGGCACCUCAAUGGCCUAUACUACGUGACCAUCGGUCUAGGCUAGCCAUAGUUUAAAGGUUCCAAAAUAGGUCUUAGGGUCAUUGACUUUAGUAAAAGAAAAGAUGCUUACGCCGAAAGCACAACAGUCAUCAAUCCCCUUAAGAGAAUCUACCACUAAGUGAGGUUCUCGUACGACCCUAACGAGGAAGGCACCUCGCGGACCAAUACUACUCAACCUCUCUUAUCUCAAGCAAAACUCUCAGACUCGGGUGGAGAGUCUUUCACAUUAGGUUUUUCUUUGCAAUCAUUAUUGCUUCCAAAAUUCUUUGUCAUAGAGCCAAAGUUUUGGACCAACAGUCAAACGAAGAAAAUAUGUACAGGUUAGCAACAAAAGCACUAUACAUAGAAAAAGUAAAUAAUAGAUAAAUCUCCACGUGCAUAAAAGAGGAACAACCCAAACUAGGAUAAACUUGUUUAGGGAAAAACUGUAAUCCCCAGUAGAGUCGCCAGCUGUCGCUACCGGGAUUUCACGAUAAUGAAACCGGGACUAAAGAGAUGCCAAAGAGAGGAAAAAUCAGAAGAGUCACCACCAUUUUUUAUUUAGUUUACCUCUAUCAGAGAGGAGAGGGGAAAUAAUCGAUAAAACCCUCGGAAAGGAGACGCGCACGAGAAGUGCUAAAAGAGAAUAAGGAAUCGGUCUCGCAACUGAGAUUUGGGUUCGGAAGUCGGUUACGCAAGAGGAAGGUAUUAGCACCCCUUACGUCCAUGGUACUCCAUGGGAACCAUUUAGGUUAUUUUACAUACAUGGGGAUUUAUCUAUCAUUGUUUUAUUUUCAAACGAAUGUGUGUGAAAAAGGGGAUGUUUUUGUUAUUAUAGUGCUCACCAAGGAUUGGGGCCCUUGUGCCUACGUAUCACUCAUUUGGGGAUGAGGAAUCAGAGCUCCGUAGUUUGGAGUAGAAAAUAUUUGUGUGUUGGUUGAUUUUACCUUUGAGAAAAGGGUUUUCGGGAUGAUGCCCUAAGGCACAAAAAUGAGUUUGAUGAGUUGUAUUAUUUUAACCUUGAAUAAGGGUUUUAUGAAAUGAAUGUUUGUGAUUAUAUUGCACUAAAGUCUAUAGGCGGAGGCGAUUAUUCUAAACAAUAAGUCAAGCGUCUUGCGUCCAAAAUAACCAGAGUAAGGGUAAGAAUGCUCAAUUCUUACUCAUUCUCCACCACUUAAGGCUCGUGGCGCACAAUAAUAAUCGUAAUUUUAUUGUAUUUUGAAUUUGAUUAUGAAAAUGCCACUUGACGUUGAAUCAAGAGUUUUGUUUAUUUGAUUAUGAAAUUUUACUUAUGCAACAUGAAUGCAAAGUAACCAACAAGGAAACUAAAGGGUCUCAUUGUAAGGUAGCCCAAGAGAAAGCUUUGUGUAUGCAAAAGUGACAUAUGCUAAACAACGGAUAAUGGUCUUACAAACAUGUCCUCCUAAGGUGGUGCCAUGAUGUCAUUCUUAUAACAUGCAUGUAAGUUACGGAUGAAAAUCCAAGUGUUUAUAAAGUAUCACAAAGAGUAAUGAAAAGACCUCCAAGCAAAGGUCCUAAGAUGAAAUCCUCUAAGUCCAAAUUGAUUAAGAGUGGAGUAAAUAUCUUUUGUCUUAUCAUUUUAUCAUGUUUUUUGUUGUUUUUAAUGUAUGAUGACAAUAAAAUAAAUAACAAGUAAAUAAACAUGCAUGAUGAGUUUGUACAAUGAUGAUGAUAAUGCAUACUUGAAUGUAAAUUACAAGGUAAUGACAUAAAAGUAAAUCACAUGAUAAAGAAUGAUAAUAUCACAAUAAUAAUGGUUAGUGAAUGUAAAUAACACAAAAUAAACCACAAGUUAAUGGUAACAAAAUCACAAUAACAAAAGUUAAAGAUAAACAAAGUUAGUGAAGUAAAAUUAGUGGUUAGUAAUAUGUACGAAAUGAACAUUUAUUAGGACUAUUUUUCAUAAGUCAAAAAGACUCAAAAUAUGACACAUUAAGGGAUAACUUAUCAUUGAUGCAAAGUAUUGAAGAUGAUUAAAAAAUCAACUAACAAUAGAUUUGUAACAAAGAAAGUUAUGCAACCCUAAGUCCAUCAUCAAAAUAUGACACAUUAAGGGAUAACUUAUCAUUGAUGCAAAGUAUUGAAGAUGAUUAAAAAAUCAACUAACAAUAGAUUUGUAACAAAGAAAGUUAUGCAACCCUAAGUCCAUCUAUCAAUAUUUUAAAAAAGAAUAUGAUUUGUUCUCUUCCUUUUAUUUUUUACUCCUCUUUUAUUUAACAAGAUAGUAAGAUAGUAAAUAAAUUAGCAUAAUGUAAAUGAUAUAGUUAGAUAACAAUAAACAUAAACAUAAAGUACUUGAAAUAAAGUGAACAAUAAAAUAAAUUGCAAGGAAGUAAAGUGCAAUAAUGUAAAUGUUAGGAGUUAGUAGAUAAUGAACAUAAACAUAAAGUAAUGAAAUAAAAUGAAUAAUAAAAUAAAUUACAAGGAAUUAAAGUGAAAUAAUAUAAAUGUUAGUAGUUAGUAGUUAGUGGUUAGUAACAAUAAGCAAAUGGAUUAGUAAGUUAAUGUAAAGACAAUGGUUUCAUCUAUGCAUCAAAUGACUCAAAUAUGGUUGAAAUAAAGGUAAUCUAUCAAUGCCUCAAAGUAUCAUGAAUGAUCUAUUGAUCAACCAUUAAUAGGUUUGAAACAUUGAAGAUUUAAUCAACUCUAAACAACCAUGACCAUGAUCUAAUAGACCUCAUCAACCAAACAAAUGCAACAACAAGUCCACAAUAAAAGAAAAUGAUAACAAACACAAAACAAGACUAAAGAAGGUGAACAAAAAGGUAGUAAGAGUAAGAAAUCUCAAAAAAAGUGUGUAAACCAAAGUUAAUCAUUUUUUACAAGCUUGAAUCUAAACCCUCUCAAAAGAUCAAUCAAGAGCAAACAACCAUUAUUUAUCACAAAACAGAACCAAAAAGUUAACAAAGUUUAAGCUAAAAUCAUUACCCAAAAAUAUGAAAAAAAAGUUAGGUUGAAAUGGUGUUGAGCUUGAAUAUGAAGCAAGGGGUUUGGGAUGAAAGUAUUUAUGAUGGAAGCUUAGUGAAUGGGUUGACUUUUGAGUGUUAGAGAGUGAGAAGGUUUUGGAAAAAAAUGUGAAGUGGAAAAAAAGUUGGUGGGGGUGACUUUUGGGAGAGAGGCAUUUUUUGUUUUGACCUAGGUUUAAAGAGGAGAGUGAAUGAUGCUUGGACAAAACUUUUGGGGGCUAGAAAGCAUGAAAAAUGAGGGGAAAUAGUGUCCCUAUUUAUAGGGAAAGCAAGUGGGAAAUGGGGUAAAAUAAAAAGUCACUCUGUGUAAAAAUAAGAGUUUUUGCUGCUGUCCUCGCAUGUGUAAUCGAUUAUCAUGAUUGGGGUAAUCGAUUACACACACUAAAAUGGCAUGGGAGCCUGAUUUUUAGUCAAGUAAUCGAUUACCAUGAUUAGGGUAAUCGAUUACACUGUCCAAAAAAUGAAUUUUUCCUAUUUUGGUGGUUUUUUCUCAGGUAUGAACGCCAUGCCUUGAGCACGUGAAACAUGCAUUUGGUUUCGGAUGUUAGUGCAAUUAUGGUGAUGGAACGAUGAAUGUAUGUAUGGGUAAUAGGGACAUGGAUCAGAUGAAAGUUGGAUGAGGGCAAGAUGAUGAAUCAAAUGAAAGUUGUAUCGGGGUAGGGUGAAUUUUGGGGUAUGACAACAAGUAGGGAUGAUAAUAUGUUAGACCGACCUACAUGGCCUAUAACCUAGCCUAAUUAAGGUCAGGUCAGGCCAGACCUAUUUAAUAAAAAAACCAGACUUAGGCUUUUUUAAAAGCCUAUUUAAUUAAAUUGGUCAGACUUAAACUAUUAAAAAAGCAUAUGAAACCUUAUAGGUCGACUUAUAUUUUCAUAUAUAUUAAAAAUACUCUAAAUAGUCUGACCUAUAUACGCAUAUAGAAAAAAUGCUAAAUAGGCUGACCUACAUAUGCAUAUAUAUUAGAAAAAAUGCAAAAUAGGCUAACCGACCUAUAUUUUCAUAUAUAUUAAAAAUACUCUAUAUAGACUGACGUAUAAGGCUUCUUACGUAAUAUGAAUUAAUUGAAAAUCUUAAUAAGAAACAUACUUUUAAAUACGCUUUCAGAUCAGACCAAACUUUUAAAAAGGUCAGACCAGAUAGAAAAAAAAGUCAAUAGUAGGUCAGAGGCCAAACUCGGGUCUUGUAAGUUUAUCGUAGGCCAGACUCAGGCCUUCUAAAGCCUAACCUAGCAUAGCCUGUUUCCACCCCUAAUUGCAAGAAAUUAUCAUUUCAAUAUUUUUAUAAUUAUUUUUAUUACAAAAUCGACAAAUAAAUAUUUUUACCAAUUGAACUAAUCAUCACAUAUAAUAGAAACCAUUACUCCUCAAACCAUUGCUGGAUCAAUAUUUUUAUUACACAGUACAAAUGUGCAUUUGCAAUAUUUAUAAUGUAUCACUUAUCCUAUUCAUGAGAUAUGAUUUUCCUUUUCUUUUCAACACUUAGGAAAAGAGAAAAAAUUCCGUGAACGACAAUGUGUGAAGACACUUUCGUGAACAUUAAGAAUUUCCUAUAACCUUCGCCAAUAUUAACGUUCUCAAAGGAAACUGGUCCAUUAUUUAUUUAUUUUUUAAUUAUAGAUCAUUCUUUCACCUCGAUGAUAAUACAAGAUGCAAAUAAAUAAUAUACACCAAACUACUUCUUGAGAAAGAUCUUUCAAGACGCUGAUAUUCUCGAUUUUUUUGAAAAAAUACAAAAUAUUUCACAUAUUUAAAAAAUACAAAAUACAACAUUUAAAAGAGAAAAUUAGAAAAAAAAAUAGAUUUAUCUAAAAUAUGAAGAAAAAAAAUCUUUCUCAAUUUAAAUCAUCUAUUAGAUGUUUUCUUUUUAUUUAUAUUUCAUAUUUUGGUUUCUACGUAGGAAUAUACGAGAAGUAAAUAUUAAAAUGGUAAAAGAAUUUUUUUAUUUAUUAAUUUUUGUGUGGAGAUGUGGAGUACAUAAUGUGGAGGAUGUGCCAAACUGAUCCUCUAUUACUCUAUACGUGUUGUUAUUUAGUUGAUCCUAACUACUUUGAACUGGUAAUUCUAGACCUAGUUUCUAUAUAGUUUUUCCUUUUCGGAACUUCAGUUCAUUUAUUUCAACAAAAAAAAAUUACAAAAUUAUAUCGGUAAUUGAAAGUAAACUCAAUACGAAGAAAAGAAAGGUGAAGCAACGAAAAAAGCGCGUUUGAAGAGUAUAGAGUGUAGUAACUGCAUUAUAAUAUAAACAUUAUCAUCAUCAUCACCUUAAUCGAUUUCACAUCAAAAUUUGGGGAUUUUUGGAAAUCCAAUUAGGGUUUUCAUUUUCAACUACGCGACUUGUCGCUAAGAACUUCAGUUUUUCUCUGUUUUGUUAGCGUUUCUUCGCGAAAUCACGGAAUUGAGGAAAGGAAUUUUGUUCCUCAGAAUCAAACCUGGGGAGUGAAGGUCCUGGUUUUCAUCCUCGCUCCUUGCGCUAUUUCCUCGUUCGUUUCGUGCGUUUUUUCAUGGCCGAUUACAUGAAAAUCGAUUCUCCCUCUGAAUCCCAACCCCUCAGUCCCCGAGAUCGAGUCAUUCAGGUGAAUACCUCAUUUUGUUUUCGAUCUUGAAUGUUUCUUAUUGAAAAUUUACACUUUCUGUUGCUUGAUCACUGUAUAACUGUUCAGUUUCUCCAUUGACGACCAAAAAUGAAGAAAUAAGAAAUAACUUUGUUGGUUAAUUUGGCUGUUUGAGUGAAUUUUCGGUUAUUGAUUUUUUUUUAUAAAUUUUUUAGUUAAGGUUUGGAUUCUUUAAUAUUGAGGUUGAAAUGUAUGUUUGAUUUGUGGUUUGGUAUGGUUUUCAGAGGCUUGUGCAGUUUGGUGUUCCUGAGGAGCAGCUUGACCAACCUGGUUUGGUUGCUUUUGUUCAAGAGAAGAAGGCUUUAAUAGAUGAUUUAGUGUAUGCUAUAUUGCCUACUGAUGAUGAACUGGAUGAAGUAUCUCAAGAUUCAAAUUUGGGUUCAAAGAAGAUGUUUAAGGAGAGCUUGGUGUGGUUGCAGUGGUUGAUGUUUAAGGGUGACCCUCGUGAAGCUCUGAAAGUCCUUUCUAAUAUGUCGGUUGGUCAGAGGGGUGUCUGUGCGGCUGUUUGGGGAUCUACUGAUUUAGCUUACAGGUGUAAGACUUGUGAACAUGACCCAACUUGUGCUAUCUGUGUUCCUUGUUUUCAGAAUGGGGAGCACACGGGACAUGAUUACAGUGUCAUAUACACGGGCGGUGGUUGUUGUGAUUGUGGGGAUGUGACAGCGUGGAAGCGAGAGGGGUUCUGCUCAAUGCAUAAGGGUGUGGAGAAUGUACAACCACUUUCAAAAGAAGUUGGGAACUCUGUUUCUCCCGUGCUUGCUCCUCUUUUCAAUUGUUGGAAAGAUAGGCUAACAGUUGUGUGUGAUUCUGAGCCGAGAGGAAAGAAGGCCGCAAAUGAUCUAACUUUUGCUAUGGCUACCAUGCUUUUAGACUUUUGCAAGCACAGUGAGAGUUUGCUCAGUUUUAUUGCUGGUCUGUGCUCUACUGAUUUAUUGAGCGUCCUGGUGAGAGCUGAGAGAUUUUCAACUAAUGAUGUUGUAAAGAAACUCCAUGAGCUGCUCCUGAAAUUGUUGGGAGAACCUACUUUUAAGUAUGAGUUUGCCAAAGUUUUUCUCACUUACUAUCCAAGUCUUAUAAAGGAGGUCAUUAAAGAGGGCAGUGACCUUCCUCUAAAGAGAUAUCCACUAGUAUCCAUGUUCUCUGUGCAGAUACUUACAGUGCCAACUCUUACCCCACGUCUUGUGAAGGAAAUCAACCUACUGAACAUGCUGUUAGGAUGUUUGGAAAAUAUUUUCAUUUCUUGCGCUGAAAAUGGACGUUUACAGGUAAUGAGUGAUUGUCUUUCUUUAAAGUUUACAACUCUGGUAGAAGUGGUGUAUUAGAUAUGCCAAGAAUACUGAGUGCGUACCUUGCUUUUGUACUCUUAGAUGAUUUUGAGUAGAUGGAUCUAGCUGUGAAGACGGUUUAGAAGUUUCUAUAAAUGAAAUGCAGUUAUACUUUUUAUAAUCACGUUUUCAAUCUUCUUUCACUAUGUUUUGGUAAAGAAUUAUAUGAUACUUUUACAGGUUUCCAGGUGGGUACAUUUGUAUGAGACAACAAUACGCGUUGUUGAAGAUAUUCGAUUUGUUAUGAGCCAUAUGGUGGUGUCCAAAUAUGUAACCAAUAACCAUCAAGACAUCUCAAGAACUUGGUUGAAACUUCUAUCCUAUGUGCAGGGAAUGAACCCUCAAAAGAGAGAAACGGGUCAACAUAUAGAAGAAGAGAAUGAGAAUGUCCAUUUGCCUUUUGCUUUAGGGCAUUUUAUAGCCAAUAUUCACUCUCUAUUUGUAGAUGGGGCGUUUUCUGAUGCUAGCAAGGGAGAGGCAGGUGAUGAAACUGUUUGGACCUUGAAUGGUAAUGAAUCGGAUGAUGGAGGUGAUCUAAGACAUGCUAAGGUAGGGAGACUAUCCCAGGAAAGCUCUGCAUGUAAUGUGACUAGUAGCAGUGUCUCUGCUUCACCAAAGGUUCUUGAGAUAAAAUCUGAUGCCUCUUCUCAUCUGCUUCCAUAUUCAGUCACUUGGUUGAUAUAUGAGUGUUUAAGGGCUGUUGAAAAUUGGUUGGGAGUUGAGAAUUCACCUGGGGUACUUCCUAGUGGUACUGGCAAUAUUUCAGCAUCUAAAGGGACAGUAUCUAAUCUCAGAAGGGGUAAAUUGAAAACAAAUGAAGAAAUAGGUUCAGAAAACGCCUACGCUCAUUCCAGUUUUGAUAAUGGUAGAGUAUCUGAAAAGUAUAUUCUCACGUCAUCAGAUGAUAGUGCCAUGGAAGAAGAUUUUGCUGUGGAAUCAGAUGGAUUACGUUUUCUAUCAUCACCUGAUUGGCCACAAAUAGUCUAUGAUGUUAGUUCACAAGAUAUAUCUGUUCACAUCCCGUUUCAUAGAUUCCUUUCAAUGCUGUUACAGAAGGCACUAAGAAGAUAUUUUUGCGAAUCUGAAGUGCUAGACGUGACUGACAUUUGGGCUGCAAAUUCAUCAUCAACAAUCUAUAAUGACUUCUUUGGACAUGCUUUACGAGGAAGUCAUCCAUAUGGUUUCUCUGCCUUUAUAAUGGAGAAUCCUUUGCGUAUUAGGGUCUUUUGUGCUGAAGUCCAUGCUGGAAUGUGGCGUAAAAAUGGAGAUGCUGCUUUACUAUCAUGUGAAUGGUAUAGAUCAGUGCGCUGGUAAGUCAAUUCUGUAUUAGUAUAAUUUAUAUUUAAGGGCUGAAAUCCAUCCAUUAUUAUUUUUCUAAACCAGUCUUUUACUUUUACAGGUCUGAACAAGGUCUGGAGCUUGAUCUAUUUCUUCUUCAAUGUUGUGCUGCACUUGCUCCAGAAGAUCUUUUUGUCAGUAGAGUUUUAGAGCGCUUUGGACUGUCAAACUACUUAUCCCUGAAUCUUGAACAGUCUAGCGAGUAUGUAUUCUCCUGCAACACGGAAAACUUUUCAAUUUUCAUAAAUCUACGGGGUUAUGGCAAGUUGAUGUCAUAUAAGUUCUUAAGAAAUGAUUUAAUUGUUUUUCUCAAGUAACUACAUACCACAUGCACACCAUUCAUAGUCCUUUAUUUGGCAGAAAAUAAAUUGCUCUCUGAACUCACUUUUCACAAGAAAUAUUUCAGUCACGAUUGUAUAGAGGAGAAUAUUUACAAAAUGAUGCUACUUUAGACGAGUUCAACUAGGCAACAAGACAAGUGUGGUGAAGGCAGGCAUGCAUGCGUGCAGCACCGUGCUUAAAACCCAUUGAAGAAAGUAUUUGUAUAUAUUCUGUUACAGAGUCAAUUGUGACUGUUACUUCCCAUUGGACUGUUUAAUUUAGUGUAGGACCCAGUCUCUUAUAAGCUCAAGUUUUUAUGCAGAGGCCGGUUAUAUCUUUGACAUUCCCCUUAACUGAUGUAAAAGUUCUCAGGGCUUAAAAUAUGGACAAUGCACAAGCUUUCUUUACCUUGAGUUGAGUUUUUUAUUAACUAAGACUGCAAGCAGUAGGGUUGAUGAUAAUCACUUAGUUUCUUGUGUUCAUCAACUUAUGAUUUGGGUUGAUGAUAAUCACCUUAUGAUUCAGGUUGAUGAUAAUCACCUUGUGUUCAUCAUAUGAUUCGGGUUGAUGAUAAUCACUUAGUUUCUUGUGUUUUAUGUUGUCCUCAUGCAAACUCAUCCGUUUUAUAUGUCAUUAUUUUAUUAUCUUUCUUUUUUUGUGUAAUAUCAUAAUAAUAAUUCUCUUUCGAUCUUAUUUUCAGAUAUGAACCUGUUUUAGUUCAAGAAAUGCUUACUCUUAUUAUUCAGAUAGUAAAAGAACGACGCUUUUGUGGGCUAACUGCUGCUGAAAGUGUGAAAAGAGAACUAAUUUAUAAGCUUUCCAUUGGAAAUGCUACUCACAGUCAAUUGGUGAAGUCUCUUCCUCGUGAUCUCUCCAAGUUUGAUAAGCUUCAAGAUAUUUUGGAUACUGUUGCUGUAUAUUCCAAUCCAUCUGGCUUUAAUCAGGUUUUGUAGACUCUUGGAAAAAUUAAUGACUUUUGUUUGUUACCUUGUAUUUAUUGUGAUUUUCUUUUGUUAUAUCAGGGUAUGUAUUCUCUACGGUGGCAAUUUUGGAAAGAAUUGGAUUUGUAUCAUCCACGUUGGAAUUCAAAGGAUUUGCAAGGUGCUGAAGAAAGAUACAUGCGCUUCUGCAGCGUCUCUGCACCUACUACUCAGCUGCCCAAGUGGACCAACAUUUAUCCUCCCUUGAAGGGGAUAGCUAGAAUAGCCACUUGCAAAGUUGUCUUCGAGAUUAUCCGUGCUGUGCUAUUUUAUGCUGUUGUUACUUUUAAAUCUCCUGAAUCUCGUGCUCCUGAUAGUGUUCUUUUACCGGCACUACAUUUGCUAUCAUUAUCAUUAGAUAUCUGCUUUCAGCAGAAAGAAAAUACUGAUAAUGCAUUUAAUCAUACUGCUCAAGUUCCCGUUAUAGCAUUCUCUGGAGAAAUAAUUGAUGAGAGUUCUUUUUAUGGUGUUGGGGAACAAAGCUUGCUGUCACUUCUUGUUUUAUUGAUGGGAAUGAGCAGAAAGGAAAAUGAUGACAGCAACGCAGAGGCUGGUGGUUUGUCUUCUCUAGUUGAAAGCUUACUGAAAAAGUUUGCUGAGCUUGACGACAGUUGCAUGAUUAAGUUGCAAAAACUUGCCCCUGAAGUGGUGAAUCAUAUUCCUGAAUGUGUUCCAACUGGAGACCCUAGUGUCUCUUUGUCAGCUUCUGACAGUGAGAAACGCAAGGCAAAAGCCCGAGAGAGGCAGGCGGCUGUAAUGGUAGGUUGUUGUGUUUCUGUUUGAUGAUCUUCACUUGUUUUUAUUGUGCACAAAAACACUUAGACUUGCUAUAUUCUUAAUUUUUAAACUAUUUAAAUUCUUGAAUAAUUUGAAAGAUAUGUUUCCCAUAUCUUUCAGGUUGGUAUUUUACAGGCUAAGGAAGGCAUUUGGUUGCAAAUAUUCUUUGUUGUGCUAGACAUAAUUUGUUUACUUUUGGAUCAAGACAGGGUUGACCUGUUCUGCCUUGAUUGCCUUCACAAUUUGAAUUUUGUCUCUUGGUUUACUUGUUUUUAAAUGUAGGAGAAAAUGAGAGCCCAACAGACAAAAUUUAUGGCUAGCAUUGAAUCAAUUAUUGAUGAUGGCUCUCAACUUGGUCACGAAGGUGACUUAGAAGCUGAACAUGAUUCUGAAGAAUCCAAACAAGUUGUUUGCUCUCUUUGUCACGAUCAUAAUUCAAGACUUCCAAUUUCCUUUUUGAUUCUUCUUCAGGUAUAUGACGGUAGUACUGCAUACCUGCUAUUAGCUAGAUCAUUUAUAGGUUCUAUCUAUUUGCGAUGGACUUUUUUAGAUUUUAUUUAUACUUAUUUUAUCCCGCGCUCUAAUUCAUGCAUUUUUUUCUAUGUACUAGAAAUCUAGGCUUGUUAGUUCUAUUGAAAGAGGUCCCCCAUCAUGGACCCAACUUCGCCGAUCAGAUAAAGAACCCAUGUCUGUCUGUAACACCAAGGAGAUAGGCAAAACAGCUAUUAAUCAGAAUUCAGGUAGUUCGGAAUCAACUUUAUCUUCCGACUUAACUCAGUCAGUUCAGAAUGCUACCAGUGAAUUAGGUUCUAGUGGGCAACCUGGGGAAGUUAAUACCUUUCUACAAUAUCUGAAGAACCAUUUUCCAGCAUUGGGAGAUUUUCAACUCCCAGACACGUCUUGUGAUGAAAAAGAAAAAUCGCCAUAUACUUUUGAGACAUUAGAGCAGGUUAUGUACGUUUCUAUUCGUGACGAAAUGCACAAUCUUCUGUCAUCUUCAAAUUUCAUUAAUGAGGAUGAGAAACUUCCAUCUGCUGAAGGGAGCUCAAAUGUUAGAAUUACUGGAUCUGCAUUGAUUAAGAAAUAUGCAGCUGAAAUUGUGAGAGAAAUAUCAGAGGUUUCUUCUGCAUCUGGAAAUGCUGGUAAUGAGAAUGCUUCUGUAGAAUCAACAUCACAGCGUCUAGCAAAUGAUGGAUUUGGCCCAACCGAUUGUGAUGGAGUUCAUCUUUCUUCUUGUGGACAUGCUGUACAUCAAGGAUGUCUUAGCCGAUACUUGUCUUCAUUAAAAGAAAGGUACACAUAUCUAUUAGCUUUAUCCUCAGAACUCAUCAUUUCUCAUGUUUAAGAUCUUUGUGCAUAACUGUUUUAAGUGUCUAUUAUUAAGUUUCGGAAAAUGUUUUUUUAAGUCUAUUUUCUCCAGUAGUUGGGCUUCAUAGGUGCUGAGUGUCUCAGACUCAAGUUUUGAUUAGAAAGAUGCAAGUGUGCUUUGAGUAAGCAUUGAAAAGGGGCUGAGUGUUUCAGAUUCAAGUUUUGAUUAGAAAGAUGCUAGUGUGCUUUGAGUAAGCACUGAAAAAGGUAAUAUAUAUAAUACAUGAAUCCAGGACACAAAGGAGUAGGGUUCCGUUGAUCACUAGAAACAAGGUGUAAAGGUUCUCUGUUUGUAUAACUUGUAUUAGAAGGUAAAUGACGAGCCUUGCCUGCACAGCAAGCAUUUUGAAAUUCUGGUACAUAUUUUUCAGAGAAUUGAAUAUUACAACGUGGGAGGACUUGUUUGGGUACAUUAAUGGCAUGUGGAUAGCCAGGACAACUGUUUCUAAGGGCUAAAUUUUUAGGAAGAGGGAGAAGUCAGAAUAUCUGAAGCUCAGGACCUAUGGAGAAGUAGUAUCCGAAGCUCAGGACAUAUUCAUACACUUGGUAGACCGAGUUAUUGAAUCAAAUCCAAUGAACCUUUAUGCACACACAUACUCAGAAUGCAUGGAUAGCUAAAUUCUAUAAAUAGUAGUCAAGUUCUUGUUUUGCAAUGGUGGGAUCAUUAUUAUUUUGUUAUUUUGACCCAGUUUAUAAGAUACUCUGAUAUGCUAUAUUACUGCUUGGACAGAUCUGUCAGAAGAAUUGUGUUUGAAGGAGGACACAUCGUUGACCCAGAUCAGGUUUAAGUUUUUAUUUUAAAUUUCUUUUAUCAGUUUGGAAGGGUUGAUGAAUACUAUCUGUUGAUCUUAUGAUUUUUCAAUACUCUAAUUUUUUACUUUUUGAACUGUUAUUGUUUUUAAGGGAGAGAUUCUCUGCCCAGUGUGCCGCCGACUAGUAAACUGUGUCUUGCCAACUUUACCUGGAGAAUUACACAAUCCUCUUGUCUCUAGUACGAGUUCAAUACAUAGUACAACCCCCUUUGCUGAUUUGAAUGACGGGACAUAUUCACUUCGCCUACAACAAGCCCUCAACCUCUUAAAGUUUGCUACCAAUGCCGUUGGGAAAGAUGAAUUUCUAAAAGCUAUUCCUUUGCAUCAUAUUGAUAAAACUAGACCAAAUGUCGACAAUUUUUCAUUGGUGCUUUCUAAAAUGUAUUUCCCUGGAAAACAAGAAAAGAUAUCGAGAUUUUCGAAAGUUAACCACUCACUGCUGAUGUGGGAUACUCUCAAGUACUCAUUGACCUCAAUGGAGAUUGUUGCACGAUGUGGAAAGGCUUCUUUUACUCCAAACUUUGCUCUUAGUGCCAUGUAUGAAGAACUCAAAUCUUCAAGUGGCUUUAUAUUAUACAUGUUGCUGAAACUUGUUCAAAAGACACGGAGUAAGAAUUCUAUUCACGUACUUCAAAGAUUUAGAGGUAUUCAACUCUUUGCAGAAUCAAUUUGCUCUGGGGUUUCCCUCAGUCACGCAGAUAAUGUUGUUUCUGGGAAAGGUAUUAUUCUUGUUCUCCUAUUUCUGUUUCUUCAAACACAACUAUUUUACUAAUUUGUUCACUAUUUUAAUUUCCCACCAUUUUCUUUUCUAUUAAUAACUUGGAAGAAAAGGAAAUUUUUUAUUGUUUAACUGAUACAGGAAAUUAUAUUACAAAGUUCUCUCUUUUAGAAGAGGUAGGAGGGUGAAUCAUAGGUGGUUACAUAUUUAUUUACAUCCCUUAGAAAAUAGGAAACUCUAUUCAUCUUGUUAAAUUUUAUUAUUUUAGUAUCUACAUUAAUCUCAUCUGAAGUCUCUCAUCCAUGUCCUGGAAUUUCUUUACUCUUUCAGCUGAAUGUUAGGCUUUAAAUAUGCAAGGUAUUGACUAGUUUUUUCAUGAUUUGCUGUUCUCAUACGGAUUCCAGUGAAAUCCUAAUCACAUCUGACAGGAGUAUUAUUUUUAAUGCUUUAAAGUGCACUGGAUUAAGAGAAAGUCUUCGUUGUUGAUGUUGUUUCAAAUUUUUUGGUUUCAUCGGACAAUUUUGUUUACUGUUUAAUGUUUAGUUGUAUUCUACACUUGUUUCACAUAAAAAGGCUGCCGCCUUAGAUACUUCUAGAAUAAAAUUGCAGAAUUCUAUUUUUUAUCCAUUGGUCAAUUUUUGUUACUGUUUAAAAGUUUUUUACUCCCUCCGUCCCAUAAUGGGUGACCCAUUUGGAAUAAGAGUGUCCCAAAAUGAAUGACACAUUUUAAUUUCCAAUGCAUUUUUUUCAAUUUUACCCUCUAAUUAAUAUUACUUUCAUCAACCCUAAUACAUGAUAAGGGUACUAGAGUAAAAAUAUCAUUGUCUCUUUCAUUUAUUCAUUUUUCUUAAUCGGUGUGAAAUGGUCAACUGGGUCACUUAUUGUGAGACGGAGGGAGUGCUGCUUAAUGUUUAUUUGUUUUCUAGGUUUGUUUCAAAUAAAGGAUCUCACCUUAGAUAAUUCUACAAUAUACUUACAGAAUUCUAUUUUCCCCUUUUCCAAACCCAAAAUUACAAGUUAUCAAAGCAACUUCAAACAAGGGUUUCUUUUGCAUCUGAGCUCCUAAUUUAAUUAUCAAAUGUGCUAAAUGUUAUGACAUAUACUUUUUGGAAACUGCACGUGUGUGUUUUCACUCAACACAAACGGUUUCAUAUUUUCAAAUUUAUAUUAAUUAACUUUUGGUUUAAACAAAGGAGGUAAUGACAUAUGUAUUCGUGGGGUUUGUUGCUUAACUCAUUCCUAUACUUUAACACUGCUCUUUAAUUAUUUAAUUAACAAUAAUAAUGAUGAUUCAGUUGGUGUGCAUUGUCUGCAUACCAAAAAUAUGAUCGAAUUUAUUCUCUGUAUUUUAAGUGUUUCACUGUUUUUAUCUGCUAUUGAGUGUACUAUUUUCUAACCACUAAAUAUUCACAGGUGACAUGUUAUCAGUCUUGAAGCGUAUUGAAAUGGACCAGGCGAACACUGAUAUAUGUUUUUGGAAUCAGGCUUCAGAUCCUGUACUUGCUCACGACCCUUUCUCAACAUUGAUGUGGGUUCUCUUUUGUCUACCACACCCAUUUUUAACAUGUGAAGAAUCUUUGUUAUCCCUGGUGCACACUUUCUAUAUGGUAGCUGUAGCCCAGGUUUGUACUUUAUACUUCAUCUUUGACGUGUUCUUUGAUAGUGUUUGUAUUUCCUAAUCCAUUUUCCUCUGGACACAGGCUAUAAUUUUGUAUUAUGAGAAAUCUCAAGAUAAAUCAUCAAGUGAAUCAGCUCUUUCAGAUUGCAUGAUUACUGACAUAAAUAAAAUUAUGGGAGAGUCUGGAUGUGCAUCCCAGCAUUUUGUGUCAAACUAUUUUGACCAUAAUGUUGAUAUUAAAGAUGCAAUUAGGAAGUUUAGUUUUCCUUAUUUGCGAAGAUGUGCAUUGUUGUGGAAGAUACUCUAUUCUUCUAUCCCAGCACCAUUCUGUGAUGAGGGAAAUAUGUCAAAUAGACCAUUGAUUAUCCCAAGGGACACAAUGGGCAGUGCUGAUAUUAACAUGUUUGAGAUUAUUAAAAUUCAAGAGCUUGAGAAUAUGUUUAAAAUUCCCCCUCUGGAUGUGGUUCUCAAAGAUGAACUUUCAAGAUCUUCAGUUUCUAUUUGGUGUCGUCAUUUUUGCAAGGAAUUUGAAUCACAGAGAAUUCAACGUAAUAUUCAUGUAACUCCUGCAGUUCCAUUUAGGUUAAUGAAAUUACCAAAUGUUUAUCAGGAUCUCUUGCAGAGGUAUUUUAAUUAUUACAUUUUAUGUGUCGUGUCAUAUAUGAUUCUAUAUUACUAUUUUAUAUUAUUAACUACAACAUGUAUACAUAAACAGGUGUAUCAAACAGCGCUGCCCUGAGUGCAAAUCACAUCUUGAUGAUCCUGCAGUGUGUCUAUUGUGCGGUAGAUUGUGCUCCCCAAGCUGGAAAUCAUGCUGCAGGUUCAUUUCUACCAUUUUUCUAUGGUUUUACCACUUAUGCUAAGAAAAGCAUUUGAGCAUUAAAGUUGCCUUAGAUUCCUAAGCUGCGCCGAUUACCUGGUUUCAAAUUCAACAUAAUUUACUCACAAGCUUAUUGAUAGCUUGCUAAAUCUUUAAUUUGAGCCUCUAACAUGAGUUUUUAAACUUAAAUGUGGUUGUAAACUUGCACGGAGUUACACUCAUGGUAGUCAAAACCGCGAUCCUACUACGAUUUUGCGAUCUUGUUAGGCUUGGACUAUCCUGUGAAGGCAACAAAUCGUAUUUAGCUGGGAUUGGGAACGGUGGGAUCGUAGUGCAAAAACGGUUGGAUCGGUGGGAUCGGCAUUCCUGCCAUUGCAGUUCUAAAACUUUUGAAAUAGGUUUUUUUUGGCUGUAACCUGUGCAGCAUUUAUUUCUCACACUUCAUUCCAAUUAAAUACCAUUUAGUUUCUUAAAACCUAUAGUGGUUAAUUUUUUUUAACUUCCCAAUAUAUCUACUAAAUCUAUUAAUUUUCUGAGCCACAUAAGUUAUUCAAUACAAUCAGAUUCUCUUCAUUUCUGGUACAUUAAAGUUUUUGAAGUUCAAAUAUACCUAACACCCCUUGUCACUCUUUUUAUUUUUGUUCAUAACACUUGAAUUUUUUUAUAUGAAUUUUUAUUUUUAUUUUUAUUUUUAUUUUUAUUUUUAAUUUUAUGCUUUGAUUUGAUUUUUUUUUUACUAAAUUAUGUUUUUUUUAUAUGAAUAUAUAUGCAAUAUAUGAGUUUGUGAAAUUGGUAGGAUUUUAGGAUCCAUGUUACUAUAAUCCGAAUUACGAUCUUGUGACCUCUCUUCGAUCCCACAUAGGAUCUCGAUUUUGACUACCUUGGUUGCAUUAACAUUCAAAUUAGAUGGGUUAGUUGAUGCAACAAUUUUGUUAUGCUCAGCUACUUCUUAGCAUUCAUAUUUUUGUUUUCAGGCCAUUUUAAUUGAUGACCUUGGUUUAUUUAUACUCAUGCAUUUGAUUAUUGAUGACAAUUUGAAAGAAUUUGUUUUUGUUCUGUUAUAUUUAAGGAAAAGUGGAUGCCAAACUCAUUCUGUAACUUGUGGAGCUGGUACCGGAGUGUUUCUGUUAAUUAAGGUAUUGCAAUCUUUAAACAUACAUGUCAAACGACUAGGCUGUCUUGUUCUUUUUCAGUAUAUUUUUAACUCACCUUUUGGAUUUCCUUUUUCAGCUACCUUUUUAUUCCUCUUCUUUAUUCUUUAAUAAUUAGUUACUUGUUUGCAUGGAUACCUCGGAAGUAAUGAGUUGCGUUUGUUUUAACAGAGAACUACAAUCCUACUACAGAGAUCUGCACGUCAGGCCCCUUGGCCUUCUCCUUACUUGGAUACUUUUGGCGAGGAGGUCAGUUUACCUUUGACAUCUUUAAAAUAGUAUCAGUAAUUCAGACUGUCUCUUCUAUCUUUUCCAUCAGAUCUCUACACUUCUACUGAAGUAAUUAACUUUGCAUGCGUUAUUGUAUGUUUUGGAAUUCUAUUUAGUUUGAUUCUUGUCUUCAUUUCUUCAAAUUAUCUCUCAUUUAUAGUAUUCAUUACUUCAGGAUUUUGAAAUGAACAGAGGCAAGCCAAUCUUCCUAAAUGAGGAGCGUUAUGCUGCUUUGACAUAUAUGGUGAGGAAAUAUUUUAUAUUAACAUUCACACCUUAUCUGUGUUUUGAUUUUUUUUAAAUACCAAUGGGCAUUCAAUAUACGGUUGUUUUCUUGUCUUAGGUUGCUUCUCAUGGUCUGGACCGGAGUUCUAAGGUUCUUGGCCAGACAACUAUUGGUUCCUUCUUCCUGGUUUAGUUCAAGUUAUACUUGUUCAGUUGCAGUAUUGAGGUCUGACACUUGAAUAAGCUAUUCUGUCUCUGCUUUCUUUCCUUCCUUUCUUGGCUUCUGAAACACUGUUGGUGAUAUUGUAAUUACAGAUUUUUUGGCUGGACAAAUCUCUGCAGGGAAGAAAUAGGUUCUCUAAAUGCAAAUUUAUCAUGUUAUAAACUUCUCCCUGGAUAAUCAAAAGAGCUUUAGUCCAUGCUAUGUCUAAGUGGAAAUUGUACAGCCCUUUCAGGUUUGCAUGCUAAAACUGAGUUUAUGCUCAAUGCCAUUACAUAGUUUCUAUAGAAGUAUGCUUUCUUCUUGGAUGAUCAGAUUACCCCUAUUAUAAUUUUUAAACUUAUUAAAUCUUCGUUUAGAAAAUGAUGUUAGAUUUUCUUUGGGCUGGUAUGGGCAAACAUAAAAUAUAGAUCUUGUAUGCUGGGAGAUCUGUUGAAAACCCGAUCUCAGUCUUAGAAAUUUUGUGUAAAAGUUUUUUCGUUGAGGAAAUAACUAUUGGGAUUUACUUUUGAUAACUAGACCAGUCAUUGAACAGAUCAAGGCAUCGGUUCAAGGUUCACUGGUUCAAUAAACAGUUGCGGUUGAACCGGUACUCAUUAAAUAAUUUUUAACAUUUAAAAUAGUUAUAAAAUGUUAAUAGUAGUAUUGACUUAUUUAGUAGUACUUUCUUUUCUACGAUGGUUAGCUCAACUUGCAUCUCAGUCCACCAUUGACUCCAUCCUCAACAGUGUUGCCAACGGCAGACUGUUUUCCAUCAACCUCAACGUAGGCUGAGCCCAUGCCUCUGUAUUUGAAAUCGGCUUUACGGGCUCGCUGAACUUCAUGUAAUAUAACGAUGACUGUCAUGACUGGCAAUUGAAUCAAUGGACGAUGGCCACACAAUGUUGAAUGGCAGCAGCAAUUCGUGGCUGUAGGGUGUGCCUUUGGCAAUGUUUCGGCGUAAAUUCCAUUUCUACAACUAAGACAAUAAUUUGCAAGGCAUGAGAAGUCACCGGAAGAAGAUCUUUCAGGGUUGACUGGUUUGCAGCCUCUGUUGAGGACUAAUGAUACCAAUACCAAUGUGUCUCUGCAGUUUGUGAACAUUGGCUAGUGUGGUUGAAACUCUUGGUAUUUGUAUAUAUAUAGUUAAGAAUAUUUGUAUAUAAAAAAGUUCCACACCAACUAUAUAGACUAUUUCAUGUAAUUAGCUGCAAAUCUCUAUAUACUUCUUCCGGUCCUAUUUAUAAGAGACAAAUUACUUUUUAGAUUAAUUGAAUAAUCAAUGUAUCUGGUCUAAUACUGGUCUAUUAUUAGAUCAAAUACAUUGAUUGUUGAAUGGAUUUAAAAAUUAACUUGUCUCUUAUAAAUAUGACCAAAUGAGAGUAUAAUACAGUCUCCGUAGUACUUUUAAAAACACACGGUUUAUUCAAAUGUCUCUGUCUCUCAUUUCUUAACAUGAUAAACAUAGCCUACUGAGAGACAAUCCUUCAUUGUGCUUUAUCCGGUUGAUUCGAUGUCUUUCGGUGAGAAACUUUUGGCAAACCGUGUCAUAAUUCCGGUUUGCCUUCAUACACUGCCGUGACUCAUUCUGGUAUCAAUUUCAAAAUUCUCCGGUCACCACUGCACUGCCGUAGUCGCUAAUGUUUCCGGCGAUCUUCUGACAAACUAACCCUACUGGUAGAAGCGCCUCCUCCGAUCCGAAUGUUCCCUAAUUUUUUUCAUUGUCUGAAACCUACACACGAGCCCACACGCGCCACCUCCAUCUCAGCUCGUGGGACUCACGUGCCACCACCUGAACCAUGCGUGACACCGCGUCCGAUGGCUGAUCCCGAUGAAUUUUCCACCAGCCCACUCGACUUCCUGCCUUGGUUCCAGAUCCGACCUCGGUUUUUAUUUUCCAUUCACGGAAAACUGUGAUCCAGUUCAAAUAGUCCUUUUCACCGGAUUUACUUGAUAUUUUCUCUCUUCAGAUACUCAUGGCUCAGAACUUUACGUCAAACUACGAUGAUUUUCUCUGAUGGUUUUACAUGUUGGUAAUUCAUCUGUUUGCUUCUCUCAAUCAUCUACUCUUGGACCUCGAGUCCUUGAUUCUGGUGCGUCUGAUCAUGUAUAACUUCUGCCAAUGGUUCUCAAAUCCGAUCCCAAGGGAUCGAUACUGUUCAAAUUCCACCUUCUCUCUCUUUUACUUCGGUCGUUUAACUCGUUCUCUUUAUUGUAUUGUCACAUUCAUUAACAGUAAUGUUAUCCUGUAGGAUCGGAGUUCGGGACAAACGAUUAACGUCGGAUGCGAGUCUCAAGACUUGUAUUACCUCUUAGUGUCAUCUCAGACAUGUUCAACCAAAGGUUCUCCACUUACUAUUCAUUCUCAGUUAGGUCAUCCUAGUCUUCCCAAACUACAAAAAUUGGUGUCAAUUUUAUCGAAGGUAUCUAAUUUACACUUUGAGUCGUGUCAGUUAGGGAAACACACUCGUAGUCAAUUUUCCAAUCGAGUCCAUAAAUGAGUUUCGUCCCCUUUUGCUCUAGUUCACUCCGAUGUUUGGGGUCCUUCGCGUACUGUAUCUACUUGUGUAUAGGUAUUUUGUCACCUUUAUUGUUGAUUUUUCACGUUGUACGUGGUUAUUUUAAUGAAAAGUAGAUCUGAAGUAUUCUCUAUUUUUGAACAAUUUUAUAAAGAAAUAAAAAUUCGGUUUUGUGUGUUUAUUCGUACCUUAAGAAGUGAUAAUGCUCGUGACUACUUAUCUCAACAAUUUCAAACUUUCAUGUGCAACAAUGGUAUACUCCACCAAAUGUUUUGCCCUUAUACACCUCAACAAAAUUGGGUUGUCGAACGCAAAAAUAGGUAAUGUUCCAUUCCGGUUCUGGCGGAUGAUGUGCUAACAACAUGUUACCUUAUAAAUCGCAUGCCCUCAUCUGUCCUUAACGACAAAAUAUCUCACUCGAUUCUUUUUUCCCAUUUCCCCUUCACCCAAUUUCUUCCCGUGUCUUUGAGCCUACAUGUUUUGUUCACAAUCUCUCUCAUGGACUUAUAAACUAUCUGUUUGAUCACAAAAGUGUGUCUCUAUUGGUUAUCAUCGAUUUCAAAAGAAGUUAUCGUUGUUAUUCACCUACUAUACAACCAAUAUUUCGAGUCUGUUCCAUAUUUCGAGUCCAACCACUUAACUUCUGAACUCUUUCAGAAAAGUACUCCGACACCCCUUCCGAAAGUUAUUAAUGUCCUGUCUACCAUUGUUCACCAUCAGUCUAUAGUUCCCGACCCACUAGAUAUUCCUACGAUUGACCCCUCACUUCUCAACCACUUCAAACAUAGCGUUGUCACCCAACGUUUGUUGUACCUGUCCCCGAGGUCUUUGCAGACUCUCCUUCAACGCUUCGGCCAUCACCGAAUUCGACCUUGCAAUCUGAGUCAGAUCUUCCGAUUGCCCUUCGAAAAAGUAUACAUCAAAC